rnacentral:lncRNA from 1 species
UUGGAUUUGGUUCUCUCGCGAAAAUCAUGAGUUGCAGAGAUGAGAACCAUGAAAAGCAAGAUCCCGAAUAAGAAAACAGAAACCGAGGAAACCACAAGAGUGAAGACUAGUAGAGUCUCAUCUUAUGUCAUUCUUUGCUAAAGAGAAAUGAUCACUAUGGGUCAGACUCAAUAGAAUUAGAUCCAUUCCAAAUAGCGAGAAUUAGGAUUCUUGAUCCCUCUCAAUCUCUCUUUCAAUUCGAGGAUCCAGAGAGGUGUUUUCAUAGUCAUCUCCGAAUAUUUGCCAUCUCCGAAUAUUUUCGAUUUCAUUUUUCUAUGAUAUGUCUUUCUAUAUGAAAAUUGGUUAGUUACGAUGUACGAUGAUCCCUGUUAAGCAUCCAUGGCUGAAUGGUUAAAGCGCCCAACUCAUAAUUGGUAAAUUUGUGGGUUCAAUUCCUGCUGGAUGCACGCGAACGGGAACGUUCCAUAAGUCUAUUGGAACUGGCUCUCUAUCUAUGGAAUUGUAACAUCCCUGUAAUUAGAAUUUAGACAUUAGGUAUUAGUGUGUGGUAUGUAUAUUAGGAUUUGUACAAAGCACUAGGGGUGUAUUUGUAAAGUAUGAAUUUUAUAAGUUCUUGUGUGCAAUUGUGUGAAAAUAUUCUUAAAUGUCAAAUUCAAUUGACUAUAGCAAAGAAAAGUACAAAUAUGAAGUUAAAAAUCUAAGAGAAAUAGACUUUGAACUAAGGAUUUAUGUGAAAUUAAAACAAAUAUAAGGGUUACCUAUGAAAUGGUUGGAAUAUAAAAGUCAAAUUCAAAUUUACUUAAGGGUUAAUGUGUAAAAAUACAAGUAAUCAUGACAGGUCAGAAAAGUUUGUAAACAUGCCCAAAGUUUGAUCAAAAUUAGGUGGGCAAAGACAAAUUAAUUUAAAUUUCAUCUUAUUUCAAAAUGUAAUCCAAAUAGCUGUAAAAUUUGAGUUUCUAAACCCAAGCCCUAAAGCAAAGUUGUAGAGUUUGAAAAACUCUACAACUUUCAUGUUGAACACUUUUUCAUUUGACCUUUGUAGCAGUGGGAAAAUUUUAGUUUAUAGACGGGUCCCUGAAUUCUUUAGAAAUCACAAACAGGUCCCCCUGACAUCCCCUGCUUCGUCUUCCUCUGGCACGCCGCUUCCCCCUCUGCUUCACCUCUGUCUCCGCCGCUCACCGCCGGCGCCGCGCCCUAGGCUCCACCUCCAGCCUCCGCAAGUAUCCACGCGUCGCUCUCUACCUCUCCCACCUCGGCUCCUCUCUCCCCCUGGCAUCUCCUGCGCUCGCCACGCGCGCGCCGUCGCCGCUCGGCCGCCACCGAGCCGCCGCCGUGGCAAGCCUCCUGUCGAGCAACCAGCCCUGUGUUAGCGCGCGCUUGAGCCCUACAACAACCCCACCGAGCUGCUGGUCGCAUUCUUUUUGUGGCAGAACCAAUCUGAAUUAUACCGGCUCAAGUACGCGAGUCCAAUCCCGAGGGCUCCAACGUGCUUCAAACGGUAUAAUCCCUUGGCCUGUCGGGUAACGUCCCGAUAAACCACCGAUACACAGGAUCAAUAAGGUUACCUCACACGAAGGUGGGUCCAGAGAUACAAUCACCAUCACAAGUUACAUAAUAGGGAAUUACAUUACAAGAGUUUAUAAAAGUAGUACAAAGUUUCAAACUUAGAGAAAACAAUACAAACUGUUUAAGCUAUGAUUUUUAGCAGCGGAAAACAUACGCGACGAUUACAACACGUCGUCAAGACGGAUAUCAUGUUAAGCCCUGUCACGACAUCACUCGAGAUCAUCAGUAUUGGCCGGGGACGGAUCCCAUUCCACGGACCAAUCAUCUGGAAGAGCACAGGGCCAUGACAGGGAAAGAGUGGGGUCUUCAAAGGCUUUACCUGAAAAACAUAAAACUAGCAAGGCUGAGUAUACUAAUACUCAGCAAGGCUUACCCGGGAUUGGGUAUACUUUAGCCCAUAACUAGACUUAUGAAGGCUUAUAAUAGUUCUGGGUUUAGUUUCAGCUGAAAAGCAACUAAGAAUAUAACCUAUUUUCAAGUUUUAGCUUUCAGAUUCUAGUUCGAUUAGCCAUUCUAGGUAAGCACCUAUACUAAACAAGCAAUGUAGAUAUUAUCAUCCAUCAAGAUUAUUUCUUCAACAAUUACACUUUUUACUCGAUGUGGUAAAGGGAUAAGCAGUCUCAUACAUCGUGAGAGGCGGACGAUUCCUGAAUCGAGAUUCAACCUUGCAAGGUAAACCUAACACACACGCUUGGAAUACGAACAGGACGUUCCGAAGCAACUGUUUGCCUUUCAUUCCGGGUUGUGGACAGGGCCACCACUAGCGACUGCAGGACCAUAUGCACACCCUAUAUGUGCAGGACGUAUGUCUGUAGCGCGACUACAAAACCCGUACUCCUGGUUGCCCUUGCAACACGUAUUCCCACACAUCGAACAUAAGUACCCAGAAGAAGCAAGACGAGUGGUGGUCAGUAUGUCCACUUGCCGGGCCGAUUGGCUACUAGGCUUACCGCUUACCAUAUUUCGCGGCAUGUGGCUAGUACUUUCAAACGCUUAGCCACCACUACCACAUGGAUCGGCCUUAUCAACUUUUAACGAAACAGACAGGGUAAAUUUCUAGGUCAUGAUACAACACAUGACCCUGUCCGUCAUCCUUAUAGUGGUUGCAGGAAUGUAAACAUGCAACUCCUAUAUCGCGCGAGUGACAGGAAAUCACUCGACUUCUACCGGUCCUAUUAGCGGAGCAACUAUCCGAUAAGGACUCGGGAGCAUUACAUUGGAUUCCUAGGAUUCAUGCAUCUAGGGUUUCACUUCAAUUCCUAGACUUAAUGCAAGAUAUAAUAUAGAUAGACAUAGAUUGCAGUGUAAAUAAAGUAGUGGGAUAUGUCCGGGGCUUGCCUUAACUGGUGAGGCUGGGUUAGUCAAGUUAAUAACGUCCGAACUUUGGUUCGGGCCUUCAGAGAAUUCCCUGACGAAGUUCUCGGGAUCUUCAGAAUAACCUCCUUCUGGUUCCGGGAUUAGCUGUUAAUUUCCGUCGGUGGGAGAGAUCGAGUCUACAUGAUAUGCAAGAUGGAGUUCAAUGGAUGCAUACACUUUCAUUUCAAUUCACGAUAAAGUUGCAAUUCAAAUAAAAGAACAUUACAUUUCGACAAACAACCUAACUACCCUGUACUGGGCAGUCAUUUAUCGGGUAUCAACCAAAGUAACUAGUUACGUUAAGCAACAAGGUGGGUUACCCUAAACAUUUAUUCUAACUUCAUUGGGUAGCAUGUUCGGUUAUCUAAUUGGUUGGUGUAAAGGUCUUGGCUUUAACUGAUGAGGAUGCAUCAGGUUUAGCCGAUGGAUGUGCUUUGGUCAUGUCUAACAGAGGCGUGUCUUAACUGAGAUGUGCUUAAGUAUUAUCCUAAGUAACUAGGUGUGGUUGCAUCGGCUGGAUUACGUCAACACAACAAUUGAGUGCCGUACAGCCGAUAGGGUUAGCUAAGUUAGACCUAUUUCAAGAAUUAGGUGUAACAGAACACUAAUAUUAUACUAGGUUGGUGAGACCACAAGUGCGAAACUAGUCUAACGAGAAUGUGGCCGAUAGGUGUAUAGUUGAUGGGUUGUACGUGACUGACUUCUUAGCCGACAAAUCGGCAGAUAGAAGUGUGCCGGUAAAGAUUGGAAAACUAAGAAUUGAUCGGACACAAUUGACCUAUAUGGAAAACAACUAAAAUCAGCUUGGAUUAGCCGAAAGCAAGAAUCUUAAGAUCUAGUGUGAAAACUCAGAUAAAUCGGCUGUUUAACAAAGGUUCACACAUAGCCGAUUCACAUUUUAAUCCGACAGAGUACCUAGCCGAUAGGUAUGUAGUCGAUAAGUGUAUCCUAAAGGUAUGUGAUCGAUAAAGGCCGGGGUGUGCUGAUUUUACAGAAAAGGUCCUAGCAAGAUUAAAAUCUACAUACAAACAUUUCAUCAACUACAACACAAAGGCACUUAAAUUCCAUAGCUAAAGAGCAGGAAAAGACUUGAAAAUUUUUACACAAGACUAAACAAGAAGGACACAAGCUAUAUUUCAAAGAUUAGCUGCAAUCCAAUAGGUUAACACUUAAGAACUUAUGGUAUAAAAAGGAAUCUAAGCCUUAAAUCAUAAAUAUUAACUCAUGACUAAAGCAUUAAUUUAAUUGAAAACAGAAAUUAAGUAUUUCAAGUUUAAAUUAAAUUCAAAUUUGAAUGUGAACCCUAAGUAAUUAGAGUUAUAAAGUUUCAAAAACUUAAACACAGCUUAUUGUGUAUUUAAAAGAUUUUGAUUAAAAGAUCUAAUUAGAUAAGCUUCACUGAAAAGAUUUAGUUAAUUGUAUUAUAAACAAAUUGAAUUAAUCCAAGAUAAAUAUUAAAACAUAAAUUAGAGUUAAAUUCAGAUUUAGAUUUGAAUUUAAACUUUUUGAGUAAAGAAUGUUAUAAGAUUUUGAAUAUUUAAAAAUAGAUUACUUCAUAAUUCAUGAUUAAGAGAUCUAAUUGAUUAAAGUUUAAAAGGUAUGCUUAGCAAAUUUUUGCUCAAAAUAAUUUGAAAUGGUUAUCUUAAAAGAAAUUAAAUUAUAUCAUGAAUUUAGAUUUGAAGAUUUUAUAUCACUUUAUAUGUCAUCUAUAGAAAUUUGUAUAUCAAAAAUCAUGAUCACAAAGUUAACCUAUAGGGUUAAAAUUGGAAUUACGGAUUGGAUAUUACAUUUCCAUGUCUUAGAUUCAACAUUGAUGCAAAACUAUUUGGUUUCAAAUCAAACUCACUUAAUAGAAGUUAUAGAGUUCAAAACCUAGUUUCAAACAAAACUGGUUUUGUAAUUUUUGGAAUUUCCUACAAUUCUCUAUUGAAUUUACAAGUCAAAAAUAUCACUCACAUGAAAUAACAAACAUCCAUUCACUUCCAUUCUAAAUACAGUACAAACUGUCCAUUUUCACAGCAUGGUCCUAAAACAAAAGUGAUAGAAUUUGAAAUGAAGAUUCACAUGUAACUGGUUUUAUAUUUUUUUGAAUUUUCUACGAUUUCCUAGGGAUUUUCAAAGUUCAGCACAUUGGAAAGGUUGAAAACUUUCAUUUGGACCCUUGGAAAGAUUUGGGGCUUUACAAUUGGGUCCUCCUGCCAUGGAUGGCCGGAGCAAGCUCGGGUUCAUCCCGAUUCCGGCGAUGGAGUGGAGAAUCCGCAAGGGGAAGGGGGUGGGAAGGAUGAGGGUAUUCGGGCGCACCGAUUGGCACACUUGGGAGGAGAAGAGACGGCCGGGGAAAGCCUGCCGGCGUUGAGGCAGUAGGGCGGCGGCGGGCGGCACUGGGGGCAGCACUCCGGCGAGGGGAACGGCGCAAAGGGGGUGGGGAUUAGCUUCAAGAGGGCUUGGGGGUGCUAUUUAUAGAGAAAGGAAGGGAGGAGAGGGACGCACGGCCGGGCGCCACGGCGGCGGCACGGUGGCGCGGCUCUGGCAGCUCGGGCAGGCGGUGGUGGGUGCGUGGCGGCACGGGAAUGGGCGGGGGAAGUAGGGGAUAAGGCCGGGGAAGAGAUAAGCGGUGCCCAGGAGUGGAGAGGGGGGGCAGGGGGGCUGCUCUGACGGCCGGAAUUAAAGAAGGACGGCGGCGGCGUGCUGAAACAGAGAAACAGAGGAAGCAGCCAGAGGUAGAAGAUGAGUGGGAGAGCGCCAAGGACCUGUUUGUAAUUUGCAAAAACUUCAAGGGCCCGGAAGUAAAACUAAAUUUCCCACUGAUACAGGGCUCUAAUGGAGAAAUGACCAAAAUGAAAGUUGUACAACUUUUCAAGCUCUACAACUUUGCUUUAGGGUUUGAACUCCAAAACUCAUGGUAUGCAACCUUAUUUUGGAAACUUUGAACUAACUUUAAAUUUUAUAAAGACUUGUCCUUGUUACAUAUUUUACACACAACUUGGGCCUAGGUACAAGUUUUCAGAACUGUCAUGAUUACUUGCAUUCUUAUAAUUUGGCCCCUAGUAACUUUUGAAAAUUACUUGUGUAAAUCAAAUAUUUGCGUAUAAGGACUUAUACUUUUAUAAAAUUACAUAAAUACCCUUGUUUUUACCACUUUACCCAAAAUUUUUACACACUUCAACAUACACAUUUCCAAUGAAACUUUUGGAUAAAUAAAUAUAUUUUUACAAGGGUUAAAACAAGGAAAACAUGUUUACAAAACCACUUUCACUUAUUUUGAAAUUACCCUAAUCCAAAUACAUUUUGCAAAAACAACCCUAUGUUUUUCUGUAAUUACAAAAAUACCCUUUUUACUUGUAUUUUAAAUUUUCAACAGUUUCACACAAACACACAAAAGUUUUAUACUAACAAGCGUACACUUCACACUAUCAAAUUAUAAGCCUAGCUUACAGAUACAUGAACUGUCACAGCCUUCCCCCCUAAAAAGAAUCUCGUCCCGAGAUUCGGACGUAAGGCUCUGAAGGGAAGAGAAGCAAAUCACCCAUUAAAAAUGGCAAGAAGCAAUCGCACUAGAGAAGAUUGAAGUUGAUGACGAGAGCAUGGCGAGAUGAGUAUAACGAGAGUAUGAAGAGAUUGUACAUAGGUGAGUUUGACAAGAUAAGAGAUUGUACAUGAGGACGAAACUCAUGGAUAACAAAUAAGGAUGGUAUAAGGGUUUGACAAAAUGAUGUUUGAAGUAUUUUUGCUCAGAGUUUAUUACUUAAAUAAUUUAGAGGAUGUUGAUUGUAAAACAUGCCUAUUUAUACUGAUGCAAUCAAGGGAUAAUGAUAAAAUGCUCCAAUUCAAAGUGUAAUGCUGGAUAUAUAUACCCAUGAAUGUGAUGCACUGUUUGGGAUGAGGAUGCAAUACGAGGAUGAAGGAUUCCAUGCACGAUUAAGAUGGUGCAUAUGACACAAUGCAAUUGCCAUGAUGCUGACCAAAUGAUGCAUAUCCCAUGAUGCAAGGAUGAUGAUACUCGCAAUGUAUGCACGUAUGAAAUGCAUGAAAUAUGAUGCAUAUUGUUAUCAUAAGUUGAUGAUGCACACGACUCGCACCCUGCAACCGUUUUCUCGUAACUAACACCUGGGUAGUUCUACAUCCUUAAGCGAGGAUCAAAAGUUAGGACACUAGUAAGGUUGCAUAAAAGGGGAUUGCAGUGGGGUUACGUCACAUAGACCUAGUCACCAGUGCGCUCCUAAUGGCUCAGUUAUGUGGCUGCAGCACACCUGAGGCCUUAGGUUCCGACACGGUAUCAUGGUCAUGUGAUUAAACACCACCACAAAAGAGGAAUAACAACCUUGUAGUGCCAAUAGCAACAAGAUAGACUUAGGAACUCGAGGAUAACUCGAAGGUUGUACUGGACACCCACCCGUUAGUCAGUCUACGGAUUUCCGAUGAUGAUGCAACACCAUGCAUUGACCAAAGAUGGUAUGUGUUAUGAUGUAUGACUUUUGCUGGGAGAAUUGUAUUCAAAAAGUAACUAUUGUCAUACAUCUUUUUAAUUUUUUCCAAAAUCAUCUGAGCAAAAAUUGAAGGUACAACUUUCAGAUGUUGUAGCCAAAAUAGCCAACAAUAUAAGGUACAACAUUAAAAGAGAAAAGGUGAAUCACUGAACGAUGGAUUCAAGGGUUUGAUGAUAGUCAUCAAGGUUUAACCAUCAAAAGAAAAGCUCAAAAAGAAAAGCUCAAUGGUUCUGCCGAAACAGAUUCAAAGCAAGAUUAGGGGUUUGAUUUGGCUGUCAAGCUAAGAUUGGUGAUAGAGCUCAAACAUAAUCCAAUCCAAUUGAUUCACAAAAGACUAUCUUAACUCUAAAUUAACCUAGCAUAUUACGUUAACUUUUACAACACAAAGUCUAGGCAGGCAUUCAGAUACAAGCACAUGUUUCAGUACAUCAACAUAACAACAAGGCAAUCAGGUCAAUCCAAGAUGUCAUGAUGCAUGCACGUUCUACACGUUCUCACAAACAAAAAUAACUGCCAAGUAAUCUUGGUCUUACGUGGUUAGUUACGGUGGCAUCAUAUAAAUACGUCUCUCCCUAUAUAUAUAUACUAGUCGUUCUUACGUUCAAGCUUACGCAACGAGGUUAGCAUACCUGCAGAAAAUCACAAUAUAUAUAUAUCUGUUGAACCUUUCAUUCCAGCAUGUCAUGAAAGCGUCCCCAAACAUUACUGUUCACUAUAGAAACAGCAUCUGUACAAUUACCGCUGUACAGACAACGUUAACAUACGUCGUCGAGACAACAUAUUCACGGGGGGUACCGCAAAAUGCGGGGGUAUGAACAGCGAUCGCCAUACCCUGCGCCGAACCUUAUACUCCCAAUGUAGUCAACCGAGGUUCGUACAUUGGCAGCAUCUCAAGUAGGCCACUGCUUGAGAAACAGCGUUCGGUUCGCAUCACCGAUGGGAAGGCCAAGCUCCCUCAGUUGGCUGAGGAUCCUUACCUUCUUACCUCACGAUCGAAGAUGUCGUUACAGAAUGUAAAGUUGGGUUGUGCAUGAAUUUAAGUUUUGACAGAAAAGUAAUGCUGGUAGUUAGGAUUAUAUACAUAUAUAUAGCCACCUCUAUUUCCCUUAUAAACAUUACCCUAGGGCUUUACGUACUAAGCUCAAUCCUUAACGAAUCCAACGUAGUUUUGCCAAAUACUUUGUUGGUCAAACUUUUAUGCUGAAAGUAUUUUUAAGGUAAAAUGUAUCUCCAGGGUAACCUUAUAGCUCUGAUACCAGCUGUGGCAGAACCAAUCUGAAUUAUACCGGCUCAAGUACGCGAGUCCAAUCCCGAGGGCUCCAACGUGCUUCAAACGGUAUAAUCCCUUGGCCUGUCGGGUAACGUCCCGAUAAACCACCGAUACACAGGAUCAAUAAGGUUACCUCACACGAAGGUGGGUCCAGAGAUACAAUCACCAUCACAAGUUACAUAAUAGGGAAUUACAUUACAAGAGUUUAUAAAAGUAGUACAAAGUUUCAAACUUAGAGAAAACAAUACAAACUGUUUAAGCUAUGAUUUUUAGCAGCAGAAAACAUACGCGACGAUUACAACACGUCGUCAAGACGGAUGUCAUGUUAAGCCCUGUCACGACAUCACUCGAGAUCAUCAGUAUUGGCCGGGGACGGAUCCCAUUCCACGGACCAAUCAUCUGGAAGAGCACAGGGCCAUGACAGGGAAAGAGUGGGGUCUUCAAAGGCUUUACCUGAAAAACAUAAAACUAGCAAGGCUGAGUAUACUAAUACUCAGCAAGGCUUACCCGGGAUUGGGUAUACUUUAGCCCAUAACUAGACUUAUGAAGGCUUAUAAUAGUUCUGGGUUUAGUUUCAGCUGAAAAGCAACUAAGAAUAUAACCUAUUUUCAAGUUUUAGCUUUUAGAUUCUAGUUCGAUUAGCCAUUCUAGGUAAGCACCUAUACUAAACAAGCAAUGUAGAUAUUAUCAUCCAUCAAGAUUAUUUCUUCAACAAUUACACUUUUUACUCGAUGUGGUAAAAGGGAUAAGCAGUCUCAUACAUCGUGAGAGGCGGACGAUUCCUGAAUCGAGAUUCAACCUUGCAAGGUAAACCUAACACACACGCUUGGAAUACCAACAGGGCGUUCCGAAGCAACCGUUUGCCUUUCAUUCCGGGUUGUGGACAGGGCCACCACAAGCGACUGCAAGACCAUACGCACACCCUAUAUAUGCAGGACGUACGCCUGUAGCGCGACUACAAAACCCGUACUCCUGGUUGCCCUUGCAACACGUAUUCCCACACAUCGAACAUAAGUACCCAGAAGAAGCAAGACGAGUGGUGGUCAGUAUGUCCACUUGCCGGGCCGAUUGGCUACUAGGCUUACCGCUUACCAUAUUUCGCGGCAUGUGGCUAGUACUUUCAAACGCUUAGCCACCACUACCACAUGGAUCGGCCUUAUCAACUUUUAACGAAACAGACAGGGUAAAUUUCCAGGUCAUGAUACAACACAUGACCCUGUCCGUCAUCCUUAUAGUGGUUGCAGGAAUGUAAACAUGCAACUCCUAUAUCGCGCGAGUGACAGGAAAUCACUCGACUUCUACCGGUCCUAUUAGCGGAGCAACUAUCCGAUAAGGACUCGGGAGCAUUACAUUGGAUUCCUAGGAUUCAUGCAUCUAGGGUUUCACUUCAAUUCCUAGACUUAAUGCAAGAUAUAAUAUAGAUAGACAUAGAUUGCAGUGUAAAUAAAGUAGUGGGAUAUGUCCGGGGCUUGCCUUAACUGGUGAGGCUGGGUUAGUCAAGUUAAUAACGUCCGAACUUUGGUUCGGGCCUUCAGAGAAUUCCCUGACGAAGUUCUCGGGAUCUUCAGAAUAACCUCCUUCUGGUUCCGGGAUUAGCUGUUAAUUUCCGUCGGCGGGAGAGAUCGAGUCUACAUGAUAUGCAAGAUGGAGUUCAAUGGAUGCAUACACUUUCAUUUCAAUUCACGAUAAAGUUGCAAUUCAAAUAAAAGAACAUUACAUUUCGACAAACAACCUAACUACCCUGUACUGGGCAGUCAUUUAUCGGGUAUCAACCAAAGUAACUAGUUACGUUAAGCAACAAGGUGGGUUACCCUAAACAUUUAUUCUAACUUCAUUGGGUAGCAUGUUCGGUUAUCUAAUUGGUUGGUGUAAAGGUCUUGGCUUUAACUGAUGAGGAUGCAUCAGGUUUAGCCGAUGGAUGUGCUUUGGUCAUGUCUAACAGAGGCGUGUCUUAACUGAGAUGUGCUUAAGUAUUAUCCUAAGUAACUAGGUGUGGUUGCAUCGGCUGGAUUACGUCAACACAACAAUUGAGUGCCGUACAGCCGAUAGGGUUAGCUAAGUUAGACCUAUUUCAAGAAUUAGGUGUAACAGAACACUAAUAUUAUACUAGGUUGGUGAGACCACAAGUGCGAAACUAGUCUAACGAGAAUGUGGCCGAUAGGUGUAUAGUUGAUGGGUUGUACGUGACUGACUUCUUAGCCGACAAAUCGGCAGAUAGAAGUGUGCCGGUAAAGAUUGGAAAACUAAGAAUUGAUCGGACACAAUUGACCUAUAUGGAAAACAACUAAAAUCAGCUUGGAUUAGCCGAAAGCAAGAAUCUUAAGAUCUAGUGUGAAAACUCAGAUAAAUCGGCUGUUUAACAAAGGUUCACACAUAGCCGAUUCACAUUUUAAUCCGACAGAGUACCUAGCCGAUAGGUAUGUAGUCGAUAAGUGUAUCCUAAAGGUAUGUGAUCGAUAAAGGCCGGGGUGUGCUGAUUUUACAGAAAAGGUCCUAGCAAGAUUAAAAUCUACAUACAAACAUUUCAUCAACUACAACACAAAGGCACUUAAAUUCCAUAGCUAAAGAGCAGGAAAAGACUUGAAAAUUUUUACACAAGACUAAACAAGAAGGACACAAGCUAUAUUUCAAAGAUUAGCUGCAAUCCAAUAGGUUAACACUUAAGAACUUAUGGUAUAAAAAGGAAUCUAAGCCUUAAAUCAUAAAUAUUAACUCAUGACUAAAGCAUUAAUUUAAUUGAAAACAGAAAUUAAGUAUUUCAAGUUUAAAUUAAAUUCAAAUUUGAAUGUGAACCCUAAGUAAUUAGAGUUAUAAAGUUUCAAAAACUUAAACACAGCUUAUUGUGUAUUUAAAAGAUUUUGAUUAAAAGAUCUAAUUAGAUAAGCUUCACUGAAAAGAUUUAGUUAAUUGUAUUAUAAACAAAUUGAAUUAAUCCAAGAUAAAUAUUAAAACAUAAAUUAGAGUUAAAUUCAGAUUUAGAUUUGAAUUUAAACUUUUUGAGUAAAGAAUGUUAUAAGAUUUUGAAUAUUUAAAAAUAGAUUACUUCAUAAUUCAUGAAAGAGAUCUAAUUGAUUAAAGUUUAAAAGGUAUGCUUAGCAAAUUUUUGCUCAAAAUAAUUUGAAAUGGUUAUCUUAAAAGAAAUUAAAUUAUAUCAUGAAUUUAGAUUUGAAGAUUUUAUAUCACUUUAUAUGUCAUCUAUAGAAAUUUGUAUAUCAAAAAUCAUGAUCACAAAGUUAACCUAUAGGGUUAAAAUUGGAAUUACGGAUUGGAUAUUACAUUUCCAUGUCUUAGAUUCAACAUUGAUGCAAAACUAUUUGGUUUCAAAUCAAACUCACUUAAUAGAAGUUAUAGAGUUCAAAACCUAGUUUCAAACAAAACUGGUUUUGUAAUUUUUGGAAUUUCCUACAAUUCUCUAUUGAAUUUACAAGUCAAAAAUAUCACUCACAUGAAAUAACAAACAUCCAUUCACUUCCAUUCUAAAUACAGUACAAACUGUCCAUUUUCACAGCAUGGUCCUAAAACAAAAGUGAUAGAAUUUGAAAUGAAGAUUCACAUGUAACUGGUUUUAUAUUUUUUUGAAUUUUCUACGAUUUCCUAGGGAUUUUCAAAGUUCAGCACAUUGGAAAGGUUGAAAACUUUCAUUUGGACCCUUGGAAAGAUUUGGGGCUUUACAAUUGGGUCCUCCUGCCAUGGAUGGCCGGAGCAAGCUCGGGUUCAUCCCGAUUCCGGCGAUGGAGUGGAGAAUCCGCAAGGGGAAGGGGGUGGGAAGGAUGAGGGUAUUCGGGCGCACCGAUUGGCACACUUGGGAGGAGAAGAGACGGCCGGGGAAAGCCUGCCGGCGUUGAGGCAGUAGGGCGGCGGCGGGCGGCACUGGGGGCAGCACUCCGGCGAGGGGAACGGCGCAAAGGGGGUGGGGAUUAGCUUCAAGAGGGCUUGGGGGUGCUAUUUAUAGAGAAAGGAAGGGAGGAGAGGGACGCACGGCCGGGCGCCACGGCGGCGGCACGGUGGCGCGGCUCUGGCAGCUCGGGCAGGCGGUGGUGGGUGCGUGGCGGCACGGGAAUGGGCGGGGGAAGUAGGGGAUAAGGCCGGGGAAGAGAUAAGCGGUGCCCAGGAGUGGAGAGGGGGGGCAGGGGGGCUGCUCUGACGGCCGGAAUUAAAGAAGGACGGCGGCGGCGUGCUGAAACAGAGAAACAGAGGAAGCAGCCAGAGGUAGAAGAUGAGUGGGAGAGCGCCAAGGACCUGUUUGUAAUUUGCAAAAACUUCAAGGGCCCGGAAGUAAAACUAAAUUUCCCACUGAUACAGGGCUCUAAUGGAGAAAUGACCAAAAUGAAAGUUGUACAACUUUUCAAGCUCUACAACUUUGCUUUAGGGUUUGAACUCCAAAACUCAUGGUAUGCAACCUUAUUUUGGAAACUUUGAACUAACUUUAAAUUUUAUAAAGACUUGUCCUUGUUACAUAUUUUACACACAACUUGGGCCUAGGUACAAGUUUUCAGAACUGUCAUGAUUACUUGCAUUCUUAUAAUUUGGCCCCUAGUAACUUUUGAAAAUUACUUGUGUAAAUCAAAUAUUUGCGUAUAAGGACUUAUACUUUUAUAAAAUUACAUAAAUACCCUUGUUUUUACCACUUUACCCAAAAUUUUUACACACUUCAACAUACACAUUUCCAAUGAAACUUUUGGAUAAAUAAAUAUAUUUUUACAAGGGUUAAAACAAGGAAAACAUGUUUACAAAACCACUUUCACUUAUUUUGAAAUUACCCUAAUCCAAAUACAUUUUGCAAAAACAACCCUAUGUUUUUCUGUAAUUACAAAAAUACCCUUUUUACUUGUAUUUUAAAUUUUCAACAGUUUCACACAAACACACAAAAGUUUUAUACUAACAAGCGUACACUUCACACUAUCAAAUUAUAAGCCUAGCUUACAGAUACAUGAACUGUCACAGCCUUCCCCCCUAAAAAGAAUCUCGUCCCGAGAUUCGGACGUAAGGCUCUGAAGGGAAGAGAAGCAAAUCACCCAUUAAAAAUGGCAAGAAGCAAUCGCACUAGAGAAGAUUGAAGUUGAUGACGAGAGCAUGGCGAGAUGAGUAUAACGAGAGUAUGAAGAGAUUGUACAUAGGUGAGUUUGACAAGAUAAGAGAUUGUACAUGAGGACGAAACUCAUGGAUAACAAAUAAGGAUGGUAUAAGGGUUUGACAAAAUGAUGUUUGAAGUAUUUUUGCUCAGAGUUUAUUACUUAAAUAAUUUAGAGGAUGUUGAUUGUAAAACAUGCCUAUUUAUACUGAUGCAAUCAAGGGAUAAUGAUAAAAUGCUCCAAUUCAAAGUGUAAUGCUGGAUAUAUAUACCCAUGAAUGUGAUGCACUGUUUGGGAUGAGGAUGCAAUACGAGGAUGAAGGAUUCCAUGCACGAUUAAGAUGGUGCAUAUGACACAAUGCAAUUGCCAUGAUGCUGACCAAAUGAUGCAUAUCCCAUGAUGCAAGGAUGAUGAUACUCGCAAUGUAUGCACGUAUGAAAUGCAUGAAAUAUGAUGCAUAUUGUUAUCAUAAGUUGAUGAUGCACACGACUCGCACCCUGCAACCGUUUUCUCGUAACUAACACCUGGGUAGUUCUACAUCCUUAAGCGAGGAUCAAAAGUUAGGACACUAGUAAGGUUGCAUAAAAGGGGAUUGCAGUGGGGUUACGUCACAUAGACCUAGUCACCAGUGCGCUCCUAAUGGCUCAGUUAUGUGGCUGCAGCACACCUGAGGCCUUAGGUUCCGACACGGUAUCAUGGUCAUGUGAUUAAACACCACCACAAAAGAGGAAUAACAACCUUGUAGUGCCAAUAGCAACAAGAUAGACUUAGGAACUCGAGGAUAACUCGAAGGUUGUACUGGACACCCACCCGUUAGUCAGUCUACGGAUUUCCGAUGAUGAUGCAACACCAUGCAUUGACCAAAGAUGGUAUGUGUUAUGAUGUAUGACUUUUGCUGGGAGAAUUGUAUUCAAAAAGUAACUAUUGUCAUACAUCUUUUUAAUUUUUUCCAAAAUCAUCUGAGCAAAAAUUGAAGGUACAACUUUCAGAUGUUGUAGCCAAAAUAGCCAACAAUAUAAGGUACAACAUUAAAAGAGAAAAGGUGAUCACUGAACGAUGGAUUCAAGGGUUUGAUGAUAGUCAUCAAGGUUUAACCAUCAAAAGAAAAGCUCAAAAAGAAAAGCUCAAUGGUUCUGCCGAAACAGAUUCAAAGCAAGAUUAGGGGUUUGAUUUGGCUGUCAAGCUAAGAUUGGUGAUAGAGCUCAAACAUAAUCCAAUCCAAUUGAUUCACAAAAGACUAUCUUAACUCUAAAUUAACCUAGCAUAUUACGUUAACUUUUACAACACAAAGUCUAGGCAGGCAUUCAGAUACAAGCACAUGUUUCAGUACAUCAACAUAACAACAAGGCAAUCAGGUCAAUCCAAGAUGUCAUGAUGCAUGCACGUUCUACACGUUCUCACAAACAAAAAUAACUGCCAAGUAAUCUUGGUCUUACGUGGUUAGUUACGGUGGCAUCAUAUAAAUACGUCUCUCCCUAUAUAUAUAUACUAGUCGUUCUUACGUUCAAGCUUACGCAACGAGGUUAGCAUACCUGCAGAAAAUCACAAUAUAUAUAUAUCUGUUGAACCUUUCAUUCCAGCAUGUCAUGAAAGCGUCCCCAAACAUUACUGUUCACUAUAGAAACAGCAUCUGUACAAUUACCGCUGUACAGACAACGUUAACAUACGUCGUCGAGACAACGUAUUCACGGGGGGUACCGCAAAAUGCGGGGGUAUGAACAGCGAUCGCCAUACCCUGCGCCGAACCUUAUACUCCCAAUGUAGUCAACCGAGGUUCGUACAUUGGCAGCAUCUCAAGUAGGCCACUGCUUGAGAAACAGCGUUCGGUUCGCAUCACCGAUGGGAAGGCCAAGCUCCCUCAGUUGGCUGAGGAUCCUUACCUUCUUACCUCACGAUCGAAGAUGUCGUUACAGAAUGUAAAGUUGGGUUGUGCAUGAAUUUAAGUUUUGACAGAAAAGUAAUGCUGGUAGUUAGGAUUAUAUACAUAUAUAUAGCCACCUCUAUUUCCCUUAUAAACAUUACCCUAGGGCUUUACGUACUAAGCUCAAUCCUUAACGAAUCCAACGUAGUUUUGCCAAAUACUUUGUUGGUCAAACUUUUAUGCUGAAAGUAUUUUUAAGGUAAAAUGUAUCUCCAGGGUAACCUUAUAGCUCUGAUACCAGCUGUGGCAGAACCAAUCUGAAUUAUACCGGCUCAAGUACGCGAGUCCAAUCCCGAGGGCUCCAACGUGCUUCAAACGGUAUAAUCCCUUGGCCUGUCGGGUAACGUCCCGAUAAACCACCGAUACACAGGAUCAAUAAGGUUACCUCACACGAAGGUGGGUCCAGAGAUACAAUCACCAUCACAAGUUACAUAAUAGGGAAUUACAUUACAAGAGUUUAUAAUAGUAGUACAAAGUUUCAAACUUAGAGAAAACAAUACAAACUGUUUAAGCUAUGAUUUUUAGCAGCGGAAAACAUACGCGACGAUUACAACACGUCGUCAAGACGGAUGUCAUGUUAAGCCCUGUCACGACAUCACUCGAGAUCAUCAGUAUUGGCCGGGGACGGAUCCCAUUCCACGGACCAAUCAUCUGGAAGAGCACAGGGCCAUGACAGGGAAAGAGUGGGGUCUUCAAAGGCUUUACCUGAAAAACAUAAAACUAGCAAGGCUGAGUAUACUAAUACUCAGCAAGGCUUACCCGGGAUUGGGUAUACUUUAGCCCAUAACUAGACUUAUGAAGGCUUAUAAUAGUUCUGGGUUUAGUUUCAGCUGAAAAGCAACUAAGAAUAUAACCUAUUUUCAAGUUUUAGCUUUCAGAUUCUAGUUCGAUUAGCCAUUCUAGGUAAGCACCUAUACUAAACAAGCAAUGUAGAUAUUAUCAUCCAUCAAGAUUAUUUCUUCAACAAUUACACUUUUUACUCGAUGUGGUAAAAGGGAUAAGCAGUCUCAUACAUCGUGAGAGGCGGACGAUUCCUGAAUCGAGAUUCAACCUUGCAAGGUAAACCUAACACACACGCUUGGAAUACCAACAGGGCGUUCCGAAGCAACCGUUUGCCUUUCAUUCCGGGUUGUGGACAGGGCCACCACAAGCGACUGCAGGACCAUACGCACACCCUAUAUGUGCAGGACGUACGCCUGUAGCGCGACUACAAAACCCGUACUCCUGGUUGCCCUUGCAACACGUAUUCCCACACAUCGAACAUAAGUACCCAGAAGAAGCAAGACGAGUGGUGGUCAGUAUGUCCACUUGCCGGGCCGAUUGGCUACUAGGCUUACCGCUUACCAUAUUUCGCGGCAUGUGGCUAGUACUUUCAAACGCUUAGCCACCACUACCACAUGGAUCGGCCUUAUCAACUUUUAACGAAACAGACAGGGUAAAUUUCCAGGUCAUGAUACAACACAUGACCCUGUCCGUCAUCCUUAUAGUGGUUGCAGGAAUGUAAACAUGCAACUCCUAUAUCGCGCGAGUGACAGGAAAUCACUCAACUUCUACCGGUCCUAUUAGCGGAGCAACUAUCCGAUAAGGACUCGGGAGCAUUACAUUGGAUUCCUAGGAUUCAUGCAUCUAGGGUUUCACUUCAAUUCCUAGACUUAAUGCAAGAUAUAAUAUAGAUAGACAUAGAUUGCAGUGUAAAUAAAGUAGUGGGAUAUGUCCGGGGCUUGCCUUAACUGGUGAGGCUGGGUUAGUCAAGUUAAUAACGUCCGAACUUUUGUUCGGGCCUUCAGAGAAUUCCCUGACGAAGUUCUCGGGAUCUUCAGAAUAACCUCCUUCUGGUUCCGGGAUUAGCUGUUAAUUUCCGUCGGCGGGAGAGAUCGAGUAUACAUGAUAUGCAAGAUGGAGUUCAAUGGAUGCAUACACUUUCAUUUCAAUUCACGAUAAAGUUGCAAUUCAAAUAAAAGAACAUUACAUUUCGACAAACAACCUAACUACCCUGUACUGGGCAGUCAUUUAUCGGGUAUCAACCAAAGUAACUAGUUACGUUAAGCAACAAGGUGGGUUACCCUAAACAUUUAUUAUAACUUCAUUGGGUAGCAUGUUCGGUUAUCUAAUUGGUUGGUGUAAAGGUCUUGGCUUUAACUGAUGAGGAUGCAUCAGGUUUAGCCGAUGGAUGUGCUUUGGUCAUGUCUAACAGAGGCGUGUCUUAACUGAGAUGUGCUUAAGUAUUAUCCUAAGUAACUAGGUGUGGUUGCAUCGGCUGGAUUACGUCAACACAACAAUUGAGUGCCGUACAGCCGAUAAGGUUAGCUAAGUUAGACCUAUUUCAAGAAUUAGGUGUAACAGAACACUAAUAUUAUACUAGGUUGGUGAGACCACAAGUGCGAAACUAGUCUAACGAGAAUGUGGCCGAUAGGUGUAUAGUUGAUGGGUUGUACGUGACUGACUUCUUAGCCGACAAAUCGGCAGAUAGAAGUGUGCCGGUAAAGAUUGGAAAACUAAGAAUUGAUCGGACACAAUUGACCUAUAUGGAAAACAACUAAAAUCAGCUUGGAUUAGCCGAAAGCAAGAAUCUUAAGAUCUAGUGUGAAAACUCAGAUAAAUCGGCUGUUUAACAAAGGUUCACACAUAGCCGAUUCACAUUUUAAUCCGACAGAGUACCUAGCCGAUAGGUAUGUAGUCGAUAAGUGUAUCCUAAAGGUAUGUGAUCGAUAAAGGCCGGGGUGUGCUGAUUUUACAGAAAAGGUCCUAGCAAGAUUAAAAUCUACAUACAAACAUUUCAUCAACUACAACACAAAGGCACUUAAAUUCCAUAGCUAAAGAGCAGGAAAAGACUUGAAAAUUUUUACACAAGACUAAACAAGAAGGACACAAGCUAUAUUUCAAAGAUUAGCUGCAAUCCAAUAGGUUAACACUUAAGAACUUAUGGUAUAAAAAGGAAUCUAAGCCUUAAAUCAUAAAUAUUAACUCAUGACUAAAGCAUUAAUUUAAUUGAAAACAGAAAUUAAGUAUUUCAAGUUUAAAUUAAAUUCAAAUUUGAAUGUGAACCCUAAGUAAUUAGAGUUAUAAAGUUUCGAAAACUUAAACACAGCUUAUUGUGUAUUUAAAAGAUUUUGAUUAAAAGAUCUAAUUAGAUAAGCUUCACUGAAAAGAUUUAGUUAAUUGUAUUAUAAACAAAUUGAAUUAAUCCAAGAUAAAUAUUAAAACAUAAAUUAGAGUUAAAUUCAGAUUUAGAUUUGAAUUUAAACUUUUUGAGUAAAGAAUGUUAUAAGAUUUUGAAUAUUUAAAAAUAGAUUACUUCAUAAUUCAUGAUUAAGAGAUCUAAUUGAUUAAAGUUUAAAAGGUAUGCUUAGCAAAUUUUUGCUCAAAAUAAUUUGAAAUGGUUAUCUUAAAAGAAAUUAAAUUAUAUCAUGAAUUUAGAUUUGAAGAUUUUAUAUCACUUUAUAUGUCAUCUAUAGAAAUUUGUAUAUCAAAAAUCAUGAUCACAAAGUUAACCUAUAGGGUUAAAAUUGGAAUUACGGAUUGGAUAUUACAUUUCCAUGUCUUAGAUUCAACAUUGAUGCAAAACUAUUUGGUUUCAAAUCAAACUCACUUAAUAGAAGUUAUAGAGUUCAAAACCUAGUUUCAAACAAAACUGGUUUUGUAAUUUUUGGAAUUUCCUACAAUUCUCUAUUGAAUUUACAAGUCAAAAAUAUCACUCACAUGAAAUAACAAACAUCCAUUCACUUCCAUUCUAAAUACAGUACAAACUGUCCAUUUUCACAGCAUGGUCCUAAAACAAAAGUGAUAGAAUUUGAAAUGAAGAUUCACAUGUAACUGGUUUUAUAUUUUUUUGAAUUUUCUACGAUUUCCUAGGGAUUUUCAAAGUUCAGCACAUUGGAAAGGUUGAAAACUUUCAUUUGGACCCUUGGAAAGAUUUGGGGCUUCACAAUUGGGUCCUCCUGCCAUGGAUGGCCGGAGCAAGCUCGGGUUCAUCCCGAUUCCGGCGAUGGAGUGGAGAAUCCGCAAGGGGAAGGGGGUGGGAAGGAUGAGGGUAUUCGGGCGCACCGAUUGGCACACUUGGGAGGAGAAGAGACGGCCGGGGAAAGCCUGCCGGCGUUGAGGCAGUAGGGCGGCGGCGGGCGGCACUGGGGGCAGCACUCUGGCGAGGGGAACGGCGCAAAGGGGGUGGGGAUUAGCUUCAAGAGGGCUUGGGGGUGCUAUUUAUAGAGAAAGGAAGGGAGGAGAGGGACGCACGGCCGGGCGCCACGGCGGCGGCACGGUGGCGCGGCUCUGGCAGCUCGGGCAGGCGGUGGUGGGUGCGUGGCGGCACGGGAAUGAGCGGGGGAAGUAGGGGAUAAGGCCGGGGAAGAGAUAAGCGGUGCCCAGGAGUGGAGAGGGGGGGCAGGGGGGCUGCUCUGACGGCCGGAAUUAAAGAAGGACGGCGGCGGCGUGCUGAAACAGAGAAACAGAGGAAGCAGCCAGAGGUAGAAGAUGAGUGGGAGAGCGCCAAGGACCUGUUUGUAAUUUGCAAAAACUUUAAGGGCCCGGAAGUAAAACUAACUUUCCCACUGAUACAGGGCUCUAAUGGAGAAAUGACCAAAAUAAAAGUUGUACAACUUUUCAAGCUCUACAACUUUGCUUUAGGGUUUGAACUCCAAAACUCAUGGUAUGCAACCUUAUUUUGGAAACUUUGAACUAACUUUAAAUUUUAUAAAGACUUGUCCUUGUUACAUAUUUUACACACAACUUGGGCCUAGGUGCAAGUUUUCAGAACUGUCAUGAUUACUUGCAUUCUUAUAAUUUGGCCCCUAGUAAAUUUUGAAAAUUACUUGUGUAAAUCAAAUAUUUGCGUAUAAGGACUUAUACUUUUAUAAAAUUACAUAAAUACCCUUGUUUUUACCACUUUACCCAAAAUUUUUACACACUUCAACAUACACAUUUCCAAUGAAACUUUUGGAUAAAUAAAUAUAUUUUUACAAGGGUUAAAACAAGGAAAACAUGUUUACAAAACCACUUUUACUUAUUUUGAAAUUACCCUAAUCCAAAUACAUUUUGCAAAAACAACCCUAUGUUUUUCUGUAAUUACAAAAAUACCCUUUUUACUUGUAUUUUAAAUUUUCAACAGUUUCACACAAACACACAAAAGUUUUAUACUAACAAGCGUACACUUCACACUAUCAAAUUAUAAGCCUAGCUUACAGAUACACGAACUGUCACACUUUUUCUCCUCUUCCACUCCCACGUCUCAGAACGCUGUCGCCCGUGCCGCCCGAACGCCGGCGAGCUUGAGCUCACCGUAGACCCACCUUUCCACCGCUGCUCCGCCUACGCUGACACAAUCCUCAGCUCCACCUCAUCUUCGCGCAGCUUCCCGGCCAGUUCCCUUCUCCACUCGAACACCGGAGCUUCAUUCCCGACGGCCACCAUCCGCCGCCGCCUCCUGCCCACUGUGGGCAACUUGCUCCGAGUACCCCCGCGCCACCACGACCCCCUAGCCGGCACCACGUCAUCCCUGUGAAGCUCCACGAACCAUCAAGUUGAAUCCUAAGGCUGUGCAUCGUCCUCCCGACGAUCGCCGGUAUUGGACCUCGCCGCCGCCGCCACUGUCUUCGUCGAUUGCUUCUCCUCCGACACGAAUUCUUCCAAUUAGUUGCACCUGCACGUUCCCCAUGACGUGCUGGUUCUUGUGCGCAGGUUCCUUGCCCACGUUGACCACUGGAACCUCGUCGAGGCCGUCGACCUCUCCGCCGCCGCCUCGGGUCCUCGUUGGGAUUCCACUUUCCGGCCACCCUAGCCCUCGACAAGUGGAGCAACGGGAUCACCGUAAGCUCCUAAGCCUGUCCCUGCCCUUGAACCUCGCCGCCGGUGACCGCCGUCGCCGGAACACGGUCGCCCCUGUCUUGUUCUGUUCGGGUUCAGGGCCAAGGACUUUGGUUUAGAAGAAUCAAAACUUCAGGGGGUUUUAUGCAUAGCUUUAGACUCAGAGGAAUAGUAUCCAGGGACCUCCUUAUGUAAAUAUUGCUGCCAACUUAGAAACGCUAUAUCUUUUCGAGGAAAAAUCAUAAAAUUGUAAACUAAAUUUUGUUGGAAUCUUUAGAUAAAGAUCUGCAACUUUGCUUAAAGGGUCAACUUCAGUUUUUGAAUGUUUGAUGGUCUAAUUUAAAUAUCAAAUUUAGUUGCUUGUAGGCUUAGGAGAUGCAUAGUAAUUCAUAGAAAAAUGAUAAAAUAGUAAAACCAGUUCUGUUAAUUUUCUUUCAACAUAUAGAAUUGAAGAAAAAUAAUUAUCCUAGUAUUCUAAUAUUAGUUCCUUAAUGUACAAGUUUAAAUAGAAAUAGUAUAUAGUUCAUCUUACAUAAUUAAUUUUUCAUAUAUGUUAAUGGUUCAAAAAUCAAGAAAAUAUUUUAGGGUGCUAUGCUUUAGUAGUUUAACCUGUGAUUAAAUUUCCAACUAAGAAUUAGAUGUCAAACAUAUUAGACAUAAUUUAAUUAAUCCAUAAUGUAAUAAUAAUACAAAGAUCAUGUGAAAAAUUAGUAUAGUCAAUGAAUAAAGUUUUUAAGAACUACCCCACCUGUUGUUCCAUGCCACUAGUUAGGUAACUAGUAUAGCUAACCCUGUUGUUUAAUGGGUUUAGAUAAAACAUAUAAUGCUCGAUAAAUGACUGUCCAGUAUAGGGUAAUUAAGUUAUUUAUCGAAAUAUAACAUCCUUUACAUUGAAUUGCAACUUUAUCGUGAAUUGAAAUACAAAUGUAUGCAUCCAUUAAACUUCAUCUUGCAUAUCAUGUAGACUCGACCACUCUCGCUGACGGGGACUAUCAGCUGAUUCCGGAUCAAGAAGGAGGUUAUUCUGAAGACUCCGGGAAUCUCGUCGCAGAAUUCUCUGAAGUCCCGAACCAAGGUUCGGAGGAUAUUAACUUGACUGACCCCAGCCCCACCAGCGAAGGCAAGCCCCGGACAUAACCCCUACUUUAUUACACUGCAACCUAUAUUAUUAUUUAUGUAUAUCUUUAUGCAUUAGGUUCUUAGGAGUUGUUUGGAAACCUUAGUUGCAUAAUCCCAGGAACCUAUGUAUUGAAUACUAGAACUUGGGUCCGAAUAGCUGCUCUGCCUAUAGGACCGGUAGAAGUCGAGUGAUUUCCUGUCACUCGCGCGAUAUAGGAAUUAUGAUGUUUACAUUCCUGUUAUCACUAUAAGGAUGACGGAUGGGAAUUUUAUGUGGUAUCAUGGUCAAGAUGAUACCCCGUCUGUUUUGAUGAACUUGGUAAGGUCGCAGUGUGUGGUAGCGGUGGUUAAGUGUUUGAAAGUACUAGCCACAUGCCGUGAAAUAUGGUAAGCGGUAAGCCUAGUAACCAAUCGGCCCGAGGAGUGGACAUACCUCCCACCACAUGUAUUUGCUUCUUUUGGUUACUUUGUUCGACGUGUAGGCAUACGUGUUGCUGGGCAACCAGGAAUACGGGUUUUGUAGUCGCGCUACAGACGUAUGUCCUGCACUUUGGAAGUGCGUAUGACCUGCAGUCGCUUGUGGUGGAUCUGAUCCACAAGUCGGAAUGAAAGGUAAACGGUUGCUUCGGAAUGAUCCUUUGGUGUUCCAAGCGUGUGUGUUAGGUUUAUCCUUGCAAGGUUUUGAAUCUCGAUUCAGGAAUCGUCCGCCUCUCACGAUGAAUGAGACUGCUUACCCCUUUUACCACAUAGAGUAAUAAGAGCAAUUAUGUGAUUAUCAAAGAUGAGGUUUGAAUAAAGAUCCUACCAUGUUUGAAUAGUUAUAGGUGCUUACCUAGAAUGGUUAAUCAACUAGAACCUGAAAAUUUAAAAGAUGAAAUUAAGGAUCUACUAUUUGUUGCUUUUUAGCUGAAAACUUUAACCAAAGCUUAAAGCCAUCAUGAGUCUAGUUAUGGGCUAAGUUAUACCCAAUUCCGGGUAAGUCUUGCUGAGUAUUAGUAUACUCAGCCUUGCUUUUGGUUGAUUUAAUCCAGGUAAUCCUCCUGAUGAGCCAGCAUUCAUUACACCGUGGCCCUAUCCUUUGCCUGAUGGUUGGUCCGUGGAAUGGGAUCCGUCCCCGGCCAACACAGAUUCCGCCGAGUGAUAUCAUGCCAGGGCUAGCAUGAUAUCUAUAAUAACGACGUGUACAAUGUCUACGUUUUCCAAAUUCUGCUGCUUUGACUGAAAACUAAAACCUGUCUUGUAAUAAUCUCUCCUCCGUGGGAGCUAAUGAUGCUUUGUACAUUUUUGUAAUAUAACUGCCUGUGGUGUAAAAUAUUUUGGCAUUGUAUCUCUGGACUCACCUUCGUGUGAGGUACCUUGUUGGAUCCUGCGUUCGGUGGUUUAUCGGGACGUUACCCGACAGACCAAUAGUUUUAUACCGUUUGAAGUACGAGGUAGCCCUUCGGUGAGGACUCGCGUACUUGAGCCGGUAUAAUUCAGGUUGGUUCUGCCACAGCUGGUAUCAGAGCAGCAAGUGUACCCUGGAGAUAUAAUUAGCCUUAAAAAGUAAUUUUUAGUAUAAAAACUGAUUAAUCAAGUAUUUGCGAACUACGGUGGUUCGUUAAGGAUUAUGUAUAGUAUGUAAGCCCUAGGGUAAUGCUUAUAAGGGAAAUAGAGGUGGCUAUAAUAUAUGUAUAUAUAACUCUAACUACCAGCAUUACGUUUCUGUCAAAACUUAAAUUUAUGCACAACCCAACCUUACAUUCUGUAACGACACCUACGAACGGAGGUAAGAAGGUAAGGAUCCUCAGCCAACUGAGGGAGCUUGGCCUUCCCGUCGGUGAUGCGAACCGAACGCUGUUUCUCAAGCAGUGGCCUACUUGAGAUGCUGCCAAUGUGCCAACUUCAAGUUGACUACAUUGGGAGUAAAUGGUUCGGCGCAGGGUAUGGCGAUCGCUGUUCAUACCCCCGCAAUUUGCGGUACCCCCGUGAAUACGUUAUUCAAUAAUGUAUGUUAACGUUGUCUGUACGGCGGUAAUUGUACAGAUGCUGUUUCUAUAGUGAGCAGUAAUGAAUGGGGACGCUUUCAUGACAUGCUGGCAUGAAAGGUUCAUUGAAUAUAUAUAUAUAUAUAUGCAUUGUGGUUUUCUGCAGGUACACUAACCACGAUUCCGAAAUUAGGACGGAUAGGACCUAUCGACUAGUUAAUAGUGAGAGACGUAUUUAUAUUGUGCCACCGUAACUAACCACGUAAGACCAAGAUUACUUGGCAGUUAAUUUUUGUUUGUGAGAUCGAUUAGUGCGUGCAUGCAUAAUACACUAAUCAACAAAAUCACUGCAUACUUAAUGCUAUCUGAAAAAUAGGUACACAAUGGUUUUUCCUAGUUUGGGUAAGUAAGAAUCUUUAGUUGGGUAUCUUAGGUAUCCAUCUGAUUUCCAGCCUUUGCUGUUAUCAGAAUUAGCUAUCUUAAUCCAUUUUACCUUGUAAAAUUUCUCAAACAGGGUAAAAAAUAUCUUACCAUUUGCAUUGUUGUCGCAGAUGGCUGCUUCUGCUAAUACCUUUUGGGAUCAGGAGGGGCACUUUCACACCAAUGGUUUACAUUGGGAAGGGUUUCCUCGUCUUUUGUGGGAAUCCUUGAGUAUGUUUCAUUAUACAGAGCCUCCUCUGUAUGAUGGGGUAGAGUAUCGUGAAGAAGGAGUUCCCCGCUGCAGGGUUAAGAUGAUAAUUCCUCAACACCCUUUCCGCUCCUUAUGGCCUCUCAUAGAAGUGGAAGUGGUUGGAUAUCGUCUAGUGGAUACUCUUGAAACUGCUGCUUUAGAAGCUAUUAAACUCUUCUGCAAUCAGCAUCCGAUUGAAGUUGCUGCCUAUCCUAUUGGGUUACUUCCUACCAUAGACCCGGGUAAUUCGGACUGGGAUUUUCGGACAGACCAUCAUGGUCAUCUGCUAGGAGAUCUGGCUGAAGAAACCGUCCGUAUUGUUACCAGGUUUAUCAUUACCAGAUGCUACUGCGUCAUGGUGUGAGUCAGUUAACUGUUGUGGCUCAAAGCCACUAUCGGAAUGCUGAUCAUCAGGUAACCCAAAUAGAAGAAUUACAAGCCUUGGUGACUCAAAAGGAUGAAAUCAUCGCCGCAAGGGAUGAGACAAUCCUUCAUCGAGAAGAUCAGAUCAAUGAGAGUGAUCAUAUUAUCACUCAGCGUGACACUGUUAUUGAGUUCCUACAGGCACAAAUUCAUGAUCUGAUACUUGCAGCUGAUGAUGCUUAGGCUCACAUUGAGGAAUUGCAGCAGCAACCGAUACUUCACACUAUACCCAUAAUACCUGAAGAAGAAGAUCCCGAAGAGAUUGAGGGUGUUUCAGAGAUUGACUCUGAGCAUGGGGAUCCAGUUCUUAGUCCCCAUCACUCUUCUUCUGGCAGUCAAUCUUCUGUAGGCAACUUCGACGAUUUUUAGUUUAGCAAAUCGUCGACUAUCUAGAUGUAACCUAUGGGGAGUGUAAUAACUUAAGGAGUGUGUAACUUAGCUAGAUCUCAUGCCAAUUGUUGUAACAUAGAUGGCCUGCGUAGAGAUCUUUCGGAUGUACGAUGCGGAGAACAAACCGAACCAAUAUUGUAAUAUAAAUUUCCUGUUUUAUCAUCCUGUUCAUUAUCCUUAUGAUUCUGAAAUGAGAUGAUUGAAUGGAGUAUGAACUUUGUUUAUAUCUUCUGAAAUUGGGAGUAAGGCUAUAUGGUUAAUGAUGGACAUCUCCUUUGUUUCAGAUGGUUGGAGCCACGUGCGGAACCCCGGAAGGUUUCCGGGCUGAUCAGGCCAGCGGUUCUCAACAACCGCCACCACCUCCUCCCAACCUUGCCGAAGUUAUGGCUCGGCAAACAGAGUUGCUUAACUUGCUGGUUCAAGCGCAGCAGAACCAGCAACAUCAAUACCGAGGAGGCCGUGAUGAUCGCAAUCCUCCUGUAGCUAGUUACCAAGAUUUUCUCAGUACCCAGCCGCCCUUUUUCAGUAAGGCCGAAGAACCUUUGGAUGCCGAUGCCUGGCUCCAUAUUAUUGAAUCGAAGUUCGCUCUCCUGACCAUACCAUGUGCGGACUCUAGCAAAGCUUCCUUUGCUGCUCAACAACUCCGUGGUGCUGCUCGGAUAUGGUGGGAUAAUUUCUGCGCCAUGCAGCCCGCAGACCAUGUCAAAACCUGGGAUGAGUUCCGGGUCGCCUUCCGAGCACAUUAUAUUCCAGCCGGAUUAUUGGAGUGAAAGCUUAAUGAAUUUCUAGCUCUUACUCAAGGUGCCAAUACAGUUCUGCAGUAUGCACAGAAUUUCAAUCAUCUGUGCCAAUAUGCGGGGUAUCAUGCAGAUAAUGAUGCCAAGAAACAAGACCGUUUCCGUCAGGGCCUUAACACCAAACUCAAGGAACGCCUGAAUCUUGUGAGGGCUAAUACUUUCAGUGAGUUGGUUAACAUGGCCUUAACUCAAGAAGAUUGCAUCAUAGCACAUUAUGCCGAGAAGAAGCGGAAGAACCCUGCUGGACCCUCGAGUGCUCAACCACCGAGGUAUCGGGUUAUUCCCAAUACAUCGCCCAAAGCACCCCAGCGGAAUGCCCCAACGGGUAGAUUGGUUUUUAGGCCACCCCAGCAGCAAGGAAGGUACAGACCUCCCGUUCCUCCGCAACAAGCACAAUCAUCUGGCCCACGGCCAAAUGUUCAACAAGUGCCACAGAGAGGCAGCAAUUAUCGCUGUUUCAAUUGCGGAAGCGCGGAUCAUUUCAUCUGGGAUUGUCCGCGGCCCAAGAAAUCUAAUCCAGGGCAGAGCUCUACCCAGGGUAACCAGAAUAAGGGCAAGAAGCCGGUGAUGCAAGUCUGGCAAGGACGGAUUAACUUCACCACUUUGGCAGAACUUCCAGAUGGAGCUCCCAUCAUGUCGGGUACAUUUUCUAUUCACCACAAACCAGUUGUUACUUUAUUUGAUUCUGGAGCAACACAUAGCUUUAUUAGUAACAACUGUGGUAACCGACUAGGACUUGAUUCUUGUCCUAUCCAGGGGUCAUACAUGAUCUCUACCCCUGGAGGAAAAAUCACCUCCAACAAAAUGGUUAAAAGUGUGCCAAUUCAGUUAGGUAGCAUUGAAAUCAAAACUGAUUUGGUUUUACUAAGUUUGGAGGGUAUCGAUAUUAUACUUGGGACAAACUGGAUGACUGAACAUCGAGUCCGGUUAGACAUAUCUUCCCGAGUUAUCGAAAUUGAUUCACCGUAUCGUGGGGCCAUUACUCUUUAUUUGCCUCAGCCAGAAUAUCUGCAUUCUUGUACUUAUGCUAUCACAGAUAUCAAAGUCAAGGAUAUUCCUAUAGUAUGUGAGUACCCCGAUGUCUUUCCAGACGACUUGCCUGGAAUGCCACCAGAUAGAGACAUCGAGUUCAUCAUUGAACUUCAACCGGGCACUGCUCCUAUUUCAAAGAGGCCGUAUCGUAUGCCUCCAAAUGAAUUAGCAGAACUGAAAAUUCAGCUUCAAGAUCUUCUUGAUAAGGGGUAUAUACGUCCAAGUGCUUCACCUUGGGGUUGUUCUGCUCUCUUUGUCAAGAAGAAAGACGAUAGUCUGAGGCUAUGUGUCGAUUACCGUCCACUCAAUGCGGUUACUAUUAAAAAUAAGUAUCCUCUUCCCCGCAUUGAUAUCUUGUUCAAUCAACUAGCCGGAGCUAAGGUCUUCUCCAAGAUUGACUUACGCUCUGGUUAUCAUCAGAUCAAGAUUAGGCCUUGUGAUAUUCCAAAAACGGCCUUCUCGACCAGAUAUGGACUUUAUGAAUAUCUGGUUAUGUCAUUUGGACUUACCAAUGCCCCGGCAUACUUCAUGUAUCUCAUGAAUUCAGUAUUCAUGCCGGAACUUGACAAAUUCGUCGUGGUCUUCAUUGAUGACAUUUUAAUAUACUCCAAAACCAAAGAAGACCAUGCUAAUCAUUUACGUGUCGUGCUUCAACGACUACGUGAUCAUCGCCUUUAUGCCAAAUUCUCGAAAUGUGAAUUCUGGCUGGAUAGUGUGAAAUAUUUGGGACAUACUAUCUCUAGUCAAGGCAUAUCGGUUGACCCAACCAAAGUCCAAGAGGUUAUGGACUGGAAACCUCCAACUUCAGUCCAUCAAAUCCGAAGUUUCCUUGGAUUGGAGGGAUAUUAUCGCCGAUUCAUUCCAGAUUUCUCCAAGAUAGCCAAACCAAUGACUGAACUACUUAAGAAAGAAGUUAAGUUCCAUUGGGAUGAUAGGUGUGAGGAAGCGUUUCACACUUUGAGAAAACUUCUGACGACUACUCCAGUACUAGCUCAGCUAGAUAGUACACAGCCUUUUGAUGUCUAUUGCGAUGCUUCUGGAAUCGGCCUUGGUUGUGUCCUUAUGCAAAACAACCGGGUUAUUGCUUAUGCAUCCCGAGCACUUCGGACUCAUGAGCAAAAUUAUCCAACGCAUGAUCUUGAAUUGGCAGCAGUUAUCCAUGCUCUCAAGAUCUGGAGACAUCAUCUUAUGGGUGCUAAGUGUAAUAUUUACACUGACCAUAAGAGCCUCAAGUAUAUCUUCACCCAAGCUGAUCUAAAUAUGAGGCAAAGGCGUUGGUUAGAAUUGAUUAAAGACUACGACCUUGAGGUACACUAUCAUCCAGGCAAAGCCAAUGUGGUUGCGGAUGCCCUUAGCCGCAAAGCACAUUGUCAUUGUUUAUCCGUAGCAACUUUCAGUGACACUCUUUGCAAUCAAAUGCGGGAACUCAAUUUAGAGAUCAUUCCUCAAGGAAGUCUGAAUCAGCUAUCUAUUGAGUCUACCCUUCGAGAUAAAAUUUUCAUGUCUCAACUCCAUGAUGAGGGUGUCAAGAUUAUCAAAUCCAAGCUAUCUUUAGAAGAAGCAAAAUAUAAGUGUUUUCGCACUGAUCAUCAAGGAAUCCUGUGGUUCAACAAUCGUAUUGUUGUACCUAAAGAUCAUCAGCUUCGCAAGCAAAUCCUUGAUGAAGCACAUUUAUCCAAGUUCUCUAUUCAUCCUGGUAGCACCAAAAUGUAUCAAGAUCUACGGCAACAUUUUUGGUGGACCAGAAUGAAAAGAGAAAUUGCUAAAUAUGUGUCUGAGUGCGAUACGUGCCAGAGAGUCAAAGCUAGUCAUCUCAAGGCUUCUGGUACACUUCAGCCAUUACCCAUUCCGUCAUGGAAGUGGGAAGACAUUAGCAUGGAUUUCAUUGUCGGUCUUCCCAACACAUCUCAAAAGCAUGACUCCAUAUGGGUAACCAUUGAUAGACUCACAAAAACAACUCAUUUUCUCCCUGUACAUACCACUUACUCUGCUAAAAGGUAUGCCGAAGUCUAUCUGGACCAAAUCGUUCGAUUACAUGGGGUUCCAAAAACUAUCAUCUCUGAUCGAGGGCCCCAAUUUAUUGCACGAUUUUGGGAGCAAUUGCAGUCAGCUCUAGGAACCAAAUUGAUUCGAAGCUCUGCGUAUCAUCCCCAGACAGAUGGGCAGACUGAGCGAGUUAACCAAAUCCUUGAAGACAUGCUCCGAGCUUGUAUUAUUCACUAUGGUACAAGUUGGGACAAGUGCCUUGCUCUAGCUGAAUUUGCUUAUAACAACAGUUAUCAAGCUAGUCUUCAAAUGGCUCCUUUCGAAGCGUUAUAUGGUCGCAGAUGUCGAACUCCUUUGAGUUGGUCUGAGACCGGUGAACGCAAAAUCUUCGGACCAGACCUAGUCAUUGAAGCCGAAGAUAAGGUUAAGAUUAUCCAAUCUAAUCUUAAAACCGCUCAGUCCCGACAGAAGAGCUACGCAGAUAAGAGGAGGAAACCUCUGCAAUUUCAAGUAGGAGAUUUUGUCUAUCUCCGAGUAUCUCCUACCAAAGGUGUCCAACGUUUCGGCAUCAAGGGGAAGUUAGCACCUCGAUACGUCGGACCCUUCGAAAUUCUCAAUGUUUGUGGGCCAGUAGCAUACAAACUCCGCCUUCCAUCUCAAUUGGCUGCUAUUCACGAUGUCUUUCAUGUUUCUCAACUUAAGAAGUGUGUCAAAGUACCCACGGAAAUUAUUGAGACAUGUGCCAUUGAGAUUGAACCCGAUCUCUCGUACAUCGAACAACCUCUUCGAAUCCUGGAUAUCAAUGAAAGACUCACCAGAAGAAGGGCAGUUAAGAUGUACAAAGUUUUAUGGGAUCAUCACACCGAAGAAGAAGCGACUUGGGAAACUGAGUCUUAUCUUCAACGGAAUUUCCCAGACUUCCUUCAAGCCAAUUCCCAAAUUUAAUCAUCCGUUUCUGCUCAGCUUUAGAAUCUCGGGACGAGAUUCUUUUUAAGGGGGGAAGGCUGUAACAUUCCUGUAAUUAGAAUUUAGACAUUAGGUAUUAGUGUGUGGUAUGUAUAUUAGGAUUUGUACAAAGCACUAGGGGUGUAUUUGUAAAGUAUGAAUUUUAUAAGUUCUUGUGUGCAAUUGUGUGAAAAUAUUCUUAAAUGUCAAAUUCAAUUGACUAUAGCAAAGAAAAGUACAAAUAUGAAGUUAAAAAUCUAAGAGAAAUAGACUUUGUAUAAAACUAAGGAUUUAUGUGAAAUUAAAACAAAUAUAAGGGUUACCUAUGAAAUGGUUGGAAUAUAAAAGUCAAAUUCAAAUUUACUUAAGGGUUAAUGUGUAAAAAUACAAGUAAUCAUGACAGGUCAGAAAAAUUUGUAAACAUGCCCAAAGUUUGAUCAAAAUUAGGUGGGCAAAGACAAAUUAAUUUAAAUUUCAUCUUAUUUCAAAAUGUAAUCCAAAUAGCUGUAAAAUUUGAGUUUCUGAACCCAAGCCCUAAAGCAAAGUUGUAGAGUUUGAAAAACUCUACAACUUUCAUGUUGAACACUUUUUCAUUUGACCUUUGUAGCAGUGGGAAAAUUUUAGUUUACAGAUGGGUCCCUGAAUUCUUUAGAAAUCACGAACAGGUCCCCCUGACAUCCCCUGCUUCGUCUUCCUCUGGCACGCCGCUUCCCCCUCUGCUUCACCUCUGUCUCCGCCGCUCACCGCCGGCGCCGCGCCCUAGGCUCCACCUCCAGCCUCCGCAAGUAUCCACGCGUCGCUCUCUACCUCUCCCACCUCGGCUCCUCUCUCCCCCUGGCAUCUCCUGCGCUCGCCACGCGCACGCCGUCGCCGCUCGGCCGCCACCGAGCCGCCGCCGUCGCAAGCCCCCUGUCGAGCGCCCAGCCCUGUGUUAGCGCGCACUUGAGCCCUACAACAACCCCACCGAGCUGCUGGUCGCAUUCUUUUUCUCCUCUUCCACUCCCACGUCUCAGAACGCUGUCGCCCGUGCCGCCCGAACGCCGGUGAGCUUGAGCUCACCGUAGACCCACCUUUCCACCGGUGCUCCGCCUACGCUGACCCAAUCCUCAGCUCCACCUCAUCUUCGCGCAGCUUCCCGGCCAGUUCCCUUCUCCACUCGAACACCGGAGCUUCAUUCCCGACGGCCACCAUCCGCCGCCGCCUCCUGCCCACCGUGGGCAGCUUGCUCCGAGUACCCCCGCGCCACCACGACCCCUAGCCGGCACCACGUCAUCCCUGUGAAGCUCCACGAACCAUCAAGUUGAAUCCUAAGGCUGUGCAUCGUCCUCCCGACGAUCGCCGGUAUUGGACCUCACCGCCGCCGCCACUGUCUUCGUCGAUUGCUUCUCCUCCGACACGAAUUCUUCCAAUUAGUUGCACCUACUACACGUUCCCCAUGACGUGCUGGUUCUUGUGCGCAGGUUCCUUGCCCACGUUGACCACCGGAACCUCAUCGUCGCCGUCGACCUCUCCGCCGCCGCCUCGGGUCCUCGUCGGGAUUCCACUUUCCGGCCACCCUAGCCCUCGACAAGUGGAGCAACGGGAUCACCGUAAGCUCCUAAGCCUGUCCCUGCCCUUGAACCUCGCCGCCGGUGACCGCCGUCGCCGGAACACGGUCGCCCCUGUCUUGUUCUGUUCGGGUUCACGGCCAAGGACUUUGGUUUAGAAGAAUCAAAACUUCAGGGGUUUUAUGCAUAGCUUUAGACUCAGAGGAAUAGUAUCCAGGGACCUCCUUAUGUAAAUAUUGCUGCCAACUUAUAAACGCUAUAUAUUUUCGAGAAAAAAUCAUAAAAUUAUAAACUAAAUUUUGUUGGAAUCUUUAGAUAAAGAUCUGCAACUUUCCUUAAAGGGUCAACUUCAGUUUUUGAAUGUUUGAUGGUCUAAUUUAAAUAUCAAAUUUAGUUGCUUGUAGGCUUAGGAAAUGCAUAGUAAUUCAUAGAAAAAUGAUAAAAUAGUAAAACCAGUUCUGUUAAUUUUCUUUCAACAUAUAGAAUUGAAGAAAAAUAAUUAUCCUAGUAUUCUAAUAUUAGUUCCUUAAUGUACAAGUUUAAAUAGAAAUAGUAUAUAGUUCAUCUUACAUAAUUAAUUUUUCAUAUAUGUUAAUGGUUCAAAAAUCAAGAAAAUAUUUUAGGGUGCUAUGCUUUAGUAGUUUAACCUGUGAUUAAAUUUCCAACUAAGAAUUAGAUGUCAAACAUAUUAGACAUAAUUCAAUUAAACCAUAAUGUAAUAAUAAUACAAAGAUCAUGUGAAAAAUUAGUAUAGUCAAUGAAUAAAGUUUUUAAGAACUACCCCACCUGUUGUUCCAUGCCACUAGUUAGGUAAUUAGUAUAGCUAACCCUGUUGUUUAAUGGGUUUAGAUAAAACAUAUAAUGCUCGAUAAAUGACUGCCCAGUACAGGGUAAUUAAGUUAUUUAUCGAAAUAUAACAUCCUUUACAUUGAAUUGCAACUUUAUCGUGAAUUGAAAUACAAAUGUAUGCAUCCAUUAAACUUCAUCUUGCAUAUCAUGUAGACUCGACCACUCUCGCUGACGGGGACUAUCAGCUGAUUCCGGAUCAAGGAGGUUAUUCUGAAGACUCCGGGAAUCUCGUCGCAGAAUUCUCUGAAGUCCCGAACCAAGGUUCGGAGGAUAUUAACUUGACUGACCCCAGCCCCACCAGCGAAGGCAAGCCCCGGACAUAACCCCUACUUUAUUACACUGCAACCUAUAUUAUUAUUUAUGUAUAUCUUUAUGCAUUAGGUUCUUAGGAGUUGUUUGGAAACCUUAGUUGCAUAAUCCUAGGAACCUAUGUAUUGAAUACUAGAACUUGGGUCCGAAUAGCUGCUCUGCCUAUAGGACCGGUAGAAGUCGAGUGAUUUCCUGUCACUCGCGCGAUAUAGGAAUUGUGAUGUUUACAUUCCUGUUAUCACUAUAAGGAUGACGGACGGGAAUUUUAUGUGGUAUCAUGGUCAAGAUGAUACCCCGUCUGUUUUGAUGAACUUGGUAAGGUCGCAGUGUGUGGUAGCGGUGGUUAAGUGUUUGAAAGUACUAGCCACAUGCCGUGAAAUAUGGUAAGCGGUAAGCCUAGUAACCAAUCGGCCCGAGGAGUGGACAUACCUCCCACCACAUGUAUUUGCUUCUUUUGGUUACUUUGUUCGACGUGUAGGCAUACGUGUUGCUGGGCAACCAGGAAUACGGGUUUUGUAGUCGCGCUACAGACGUAUGUCCUGCACUUUGGAAGUGCGUAUGACCUGCAGUCGCUUGUGGUGGAUCUGAUCCACAAGUCGGAAUGAAAGGUAAACGGUUGCUUCGGAAUGAUCCUUUGGUGUUCCAAGCGUGUGUGUUAGGUUUAUCCUUGCAAGGUUUUGAAUCUCGAUUCAGGAAUCGUCCGCCUCUCACGAUGAAUGAGACUGCUUACCCCCUUUACCACAUAGAGUAAUAAGAGCAAUUAUGUGAUUAUCAAAGAUGAGGUUUGAAUAAAGAUCCUACCAUGUUUGAAUAGUUAUAGGUGCUUACCUAGAAUGGUUAAUCAACUAGAACCUGAAAAUUUAAAAGAUGAAAUUAAGGAUCUACUAUUUGUUGCUUUUUAGCUAAAAACUUUAACCAAAGCUUAAAGCCAUCAUGAGUCUAGUUAUGGGCUAAGUUAUACCCAAUUCCGGGUAAGUCUUGCUGAGUAUUAGUAUACUCAGCCUUGCUUUUGGUUGAUUUAAUCCAGGUAAUCCUCCUGAUGAGCCAGCAUUCAUUACACCGUGGCCCUAUCCUUUGCCUGAUGGUUGGUCCGUGGAAUGGGAUCCGUCCCCGGCCAACACAGAUUCCGCUGAGUGAUAUCAUGCCAGGGCUAUCAUGAUAUCUAUAAUAACGACAUGUACAAUGUCUACGUUUUCCAAAUUCUGCUGCUUUGACUGAAAACUAAAACAUGUCUUGUAAUAAUCUCUCCUCCGUGGGAGCUAAUGAUGCUUUGUACUUUUUUGUAAUAUAACUGCCUGUGGUGUAAAAUAUUUUGGCAUUGUAUCUCUGGACUCACCUUCGUGUGAGGUACCUUGUUGGAUCCUGCGUUCGGUGGUUUAUCGGGACGUUACCCGACAGACCAAUAGUUUUAUACCGUUUGAAGUACGAGGUAGCCCUUCGGUGAGGACUCGCGUACUUGAGCCGGUAUAAUUCAGGUUGGUUCUGCCACAGGAAUCUCAUCCAUCAUCCAUACAUAACGAAUUGGUAUGGUAUAUUCAUACCAUAACAUAAGAACAAUAAGAACUCGAAUUCUUAUCGAUACUGGAACUCAGAGCAUAGGAGGGAAAGUCGAUUUAUGGAUGGAAUCAAAUACGCAGUAUUUACAGAAAAGAGUCUUCGUUUAUUGGGAAAGAAUCAAUAUACUUUUAAUGUCGAAUCGGGAUUCACUAAGACAGAAAUAAAGCAUUGGGUCGAACUCUUCUUUGGUGUUAAGGUAGUAGCUGUGAAUAGCCAUCGACUACCCGGAAAGGGUAGAAGAAUGGGACCUAUUCUGGGACAUACAAUGCAUUACAUACGUAUGAUCAUUACCCUUCAACCGGGUUAUUCUAUUCCACUUCUAGAUAGAGAAAUGAACUAAAGGAGAAUACUUAAUAAUACGGCGAAACAUUUAUACAAAACACCUAUCCCGAGCACAUGCAAGGGAACCGUAGACAGGUAAGUGAAAUCCAAUCCACGAAAUAAAUUGAUCCAUGGACGGCACCAUUGUGGUAAAGGUCGUAAUGCCAGAGGAAUCAUUACCGCAAGGCAUAGAGGGGGAGGUCAUAAGCGCCUAUACCGUAAAAUCGAUUUUUGACGAAAUCAAAAAGACAUAUCUGGUAGAAUCGUAACCAUAGAAUACGACCCUAAUCGAAAUGCAUACAUUUGUCUCAUACACUAUGGGGAUGGUGAGAAGAGAUAUAUUUUACAUCCCAGAGGGGCUAUAAUUGGAGAUACUAUUGUUUCUGGUACAAAAGUUCCUAUAUCAAUGGGAAAUGCCCUACCUUUGAGUGCGGUUUGAACUAUUGAUUUACGUAAUUGGAAGUAACCAAUUAGGUUUAUGACGAAACCUAGAAAUCGAUCACUGAUCCAAUUUGACUACCUCUACGGGAUAGACCUCAAUAGAAAACUGUUGAGUAACGGCAGCAAGUGAUUGAGUUCAGUAGUUCCUCAUAGAAAAUUAUUGACUCUAGAGAUAUGGUAAUAUGGAGAAGACAAAAUUGUUUGAAGCACGCACAGAACCGGAAGCGCCCCUUAUUUCAAAGAGAGGAGGACAGGUUAUCCACAUUUAAUUUGAUGGUCAGAGGCGAAUUGAAAGCUAAGCAGUGGUAAUUAAGACCCCCGGGUGAAAAUAGGGAUGUCUCCUACGUUACCCAUAAUAUGUGGAAGUAUUGACGUAAUUUCAUAGAGUCAUUCGAUCUGAAUGCUACAUGAAGAACAUAAGCCAGAUGACGGAACGCGGAGACCUAGGAUGUAGAAGAUCAUAACAUGAGCAAUUCGGCAGAUUUGGAUUCCUUUUCUAUAUAUCUACUCAUGUGGUACUUCAUCAUACGAUUCAUAUAAGAUCCAUCUGUCUAGAGAUCGUCAUAUACAUCUAGAAAGCCGUAUGCCUUGGAAGAAGCUUGUACAGUUUGGCAAGGGGUUUUUUGAGAAAAAAGAAGAAUCUACUUCAACCGAUAUGCCCUUAGGCACGGCCAUACAUAACAUAGAAAUCACACGUGGAAGGGGUGGGCAAUUAGCUAGAGCAGUAGGUGCUGUAGCGAAACUGAUUGCAAAAGAGGGUAAAUUGGCCACUUUAAGAUUACCAUCUGGGGAGGUCCGUUUGGUAUCCCAAAACUGCUUAGCAACAGUCGGACAAGUGGGUAAUGUUGGGGUGAACCAAAAAAGUUUGGGUAGAGCCGGAUCUAAGUGUUGGCUAGGUAAACGCCCCGUAGUAAGAGGGGUAGUUAUGAACCCUGUGGACCACCCCCAUGGGGGCGGUGAAGGGAAAGCCCCCAUUGGUAGAAAAAAACCCACAACCCCUUGGGGUUAUCCUGCGCUUGGAAGAAGAACUAGGAAAAGGAAAAAAUAUAGUGAUAGUUUUAUUCUUCGUCGCCGUAAGUAAAUACGUAACUAGGAGUAUGGAAAAUUGCAUUUUUGGAAUUUGCAAUAAUGCGAUGGGCGAACGACGGGAAUUGAACCCGCGCAUGGUGGAUUCACAAUCCACUGCCUUGAUCCACUUGGCUACAUCCGCCCCUUAUCCAGCUAAAGGAUUUUCUCUUUUUUCCAUUCAUCAUUAUUCUAUUUAUUCUGACCUCCAUACCUCAGAUCGAGAUAGUGGACAUAGUAUGCCACUCUUUAAAAUGAAAAAAAGGAGUAAUCAGCUGUGACAUGAAAAAAAACGAAUCCUUUUGUAGCUUGUCAUUUAUUGGCAAAAAUCGAAAAGGUUAAUAUGAAGGAAGAGAAAGAAAUAAUAGUAACGUGGUCCCGGGCAUCUCUAGCAUUCUACCCGCAAUGGUUGGCCAUACAAUCGCGAUUCAUAAUGGAAAGGAACAUAUACCUAUUUACAUAACAAAUCCUAUGGUAGGUCGCAAAUUGGGGGAAUUUGUGCCUACUCGGCAUUUCACGAGUCAUGAAAGUGCAAGAAAGGAUACUAAAUCUCGUCGUUAAGUGAAUUCAGAAUAGAAAGAUUCAGAAUAAACAAAAUUUAUAGGAUUCAAAUAAAGUAAAGGUAGGCAGGUAAUAAUCUUAUUUAUGACAAGUUUCAAAUUGGUAAAGUAUAUCCCUAGGAUAAAGAAGAAGAAGAACGGGCUAAGGAAACUCGCAAGAAAAGUUCCAACCGAUCGUCUGCUUAAAUUCGAACGGGUUUUCAAAGCACAAAAACGCAUACAUAUGUCUGUUUUCAAAGCACAAAGAGUUCUUGAUGAGAUUCGCUGGCGUUACUACGAGGAAACCAUUAUGAUACUGAACCUCAUGCCUUAUCGAGCGUCUUAUCCCAUCUUAAAGUUGGUUUAUUCGGCAGCAGCAAAUGCUACUCAUUAUAGGGAUUUCGACAAAGCGAGUUUAUUCAUCACUAAAGCCGAAGUCAGUAGGAGUACUAUUAUGAAAAAAUUCAGACCUCGAGCUCGAGGACGUAGUUAUUCUAUAAAAAAAGCCAUGUGUCAUAUAACAAUUGUACUAAAUAUAGUAAAGAAAUCUAAAUAAUCUUUAGAUCAAUCCAAGAUUUCGAUUCCCAAUAAAAAAAAGAAAUAGAAUAGAAAAAUAUGGGAUAAAAAAUAAAUCCACUCGGUUUCAGACUUGGUACAACCCAAAAUCACCAUUCCUUUUGGUUCGCACAACCAAAAAAUUAUUCUGAAGGUUUACAGGAAGAUAAAAAAAUACGGAAUUGUAUCAAGAACUAUAUACAAAAGAAUAGGAAAAAAGGCUUGAAUAGAAAAAUAGAAUCAGACUCAAGUUCUGAAGUAAUUACACAUAUAGAAAUUCAAAAAGAAAUCGAUACAAUCCACGUCAUAAUCCAUAUUGGAUUCCCCAAUUUAUUAAAGAAAAAGGGUGCAAUCGAAGAAUUAGAGAACAAUCUCCAAAAGGAAGUUAAUUCUGUAAACCAGAGACUUAAUAUUGCUAUCGAAAAGGUUAAAGAACCUUAUAGAAAACCUAAUAUUCUUGCAGAAUAUAUAGCUUUCCCAUUAAAAAAUAGAGUUUCAUUCCGAAAAAGCAAUGAAAAAAGCCAUUGAAUUAACUAAAAAAGCAGACAUAAAGGGAGUCAAAAUCAAAAUUGCGGGUCGUCUAGCAGGGAAAGAAAUUGCACGUGCCGAAUGCAUUAAAAAGGGCAGACUGCCCCUCCAAACAAUUCGCGCUAAAAUUGAUUAUUGCUGCUAUCCAAUUCGAACUAUCUAUGGAGUAUUAGGUGUAAAAAUUUGGAUAUUCGUAGAAGAAGAAUAACUAACCAUGUCUUCCCAUUCUUCCCUAUGAUAGAAUAAAAAAGACAACAACCUUAUUUUUCCAAAAAUCCCUAAAAAAAGAAAAAAUUCUAUAUACCUCUUUCUAUAAGAUUUAAUGAAAAUUGAUAAAUCUUUUAACAUAAUUGCUAUGCUUAGUGUGUGACUCGUUAGUUUUUUCUUUAGGGUCAAAAAUGAAGAUUGAGAAAAAAAUUGGCUGAACCCUACUAAAAAUAGAAAAAAACUUAGUAAUUAUAGAAAAUUAACUAAUAACCAACCUAUUGCUUCGUAUUGUCGAGAUCCUAACUAAGAAACAGUCACUAUGUGAAUAAAUACAUCUAUAAAAAAUGAGUAGAUCUAUCAUAUAGUUGUAGCAACUGUAUUUUUUUCUCUAUAAAAGAAACCAGAUUUUAGGCUGUAAAGCAAAACUAAAGGGAUGUGGAUAAAAGGAGGGAUGAUAGAUAGAAGGAAGAAGAAUAAGAAAGAUAUAGGAUUCCAAUGUGUAUGGUCUAUGAAUUACAUCAUAAAAAAAGCAAUGUGAUAAAGCAUCAAUAUAAUAAAAUAAUAAAAAAAGAGAGAAUUCGAAAUCGUAACUUUCGAAACAACAAAUAAAAAUUUAAAGAAAUAAAAAAGAGCAGCCCGCGUUAAUAAAACUGAGAAAAUUGACUCGGAAAGAAAUUUUUUGUUUUUGAAAGCUCCAUUGCAGGAUUCAAACCUAACCAUUAAAGGAGAAGCUGUGGGAACAACAAAACCUAUGACGGCAUCGAAUUUUAUUGAAAAGAAUCCUAACACUUCAUUGGGUGGGAUGGCGGAACAAACAAAAAAAUUGCUUUAUUUGAUAAAGUUCUAAAUUAACAAAUAAGACAGGAAAGAGUAAAUAUUCGCCCGUGAAAUCCUUAUUCGAUUACAAUACUUUACCACGAUUCAAUAAGAAUAAAAAUAAGGAGAUUAAAAAAAAGAAAGAUUCUAUUUUCUAUAAAUAUAGAAUUUGAAUAUAUUCUAGAUCUUCUUUCUUGACUAUAUAUUUUUAUAUUUUAAGAAAGUCAAAAUAAAAAAAAACCUAACUUUUUCUAUUAUAUAUUGAUGUGUAUCUAUCCAUAAUAUUUUGGAAUAUUAUGGAAUUAGAGAAAUUCGCACGCUUUCUCAUUUAAUUCGCGAGGAGCUGGAUGAGAAGAAACUCUCAUGUCCAGUUUUGCAGUAGAGAUGGAACUAAGAAAGAACAGUCGACUAUAACCCCAAAAGAACUAGAUUUCGUAAACAACAUAGAGGAAGAAUGAAGGGAAAAUCCUGCCGAGGCAAUCGUAUUUGUUUUGGUAGAUAUGCUCUUCAAGUACUUGAACCCGCUUGGAUCACCGCAAGACAGAUAGAAGCAGGAUGAAGAGCAAUGACACGAUAUGCACGUCGUGGUGGAAAAAUCUGGGUGCGUAUCUUUCCCGACAAACCGGUUACAAUAAGACCCACAGAAACAUGUAUGGGCUCGGGAAAGGGAUCCCCCGAAUAUUGGGUAGCCGUUGUUAAACCAGGUCGAAUACUUUAUGAAAUGAGCGGAGUAUCCGAAACUGUAGCUAGAGCAGCUAUCUCUAUAGCUGCCAGUAAAAUGCCCAUACGAAGUCAAUUUCUUCGAUUAGAGAUAUAGAACCCCAAAAAGGAGUAUUGAAGAUAAAAAACCCCAGGUUUUUCUUUCUGGAAAGACAAUAUUUCUUUCAUCCUUUUGCAUUGAAAUAACAAAUAAAAAUAAAAAUAAUAUGAUUCAACCUCAGACCCUUUUAAAUGUAGCAGAUAACAGUGGAGCUAGAAAAUUGAUGUGUAUUCGAGUCAUAGGAGCCGCUGGUAAUCAGCGAUAUGCUCGUAUUGGUGAUGUUAUUGUUGCUGUAAUCAAAGACGCAGUACCCCAAAUGCCUCUAGAAAGAUCCGAAGUAAUUCGAGCUGUAAUUGUACGUACAUGUAAAGAAUUCAAAUGCGAAGAUGGUAUAAUAAUAUGCUAUGAUGACAAUGCAGCAGUUAUCAUUUAUCAAAAAGGAAAUCCAAAAGGAACUCGAGUUUUUGGCGCGAUUGCUGAAGAAUUGAGAGAAUUGAAUUUUAUGAAAAUAGUUUCAUUAGCUCCUAAAGUAUUAUAAACACUAGUAGACGAGAUAUAGAUCAAAGAAAAAUUAGUAGAUUGUGUCUCACGUAUAUGCUUUAAAAUCCAAAAUUAAAAGAAAAAGGAAAACAUGUUGAUUAUAGAAAAAUUAGGAGGAACCUAGAAUUAGAGUCUUAUGGGCUAGGAGAUAGGAGGGAUAGGGGUGGCGGCGUGUAGCUAUAAAGGUGUGGUGUUGGUGCGCCGCGGGGCCGAUGGUGUGGUACACGGUGCAGCGCACACACGUGUGCCUGGCGGCGUCAUCUCACUCGUGUGAUUACGAGGGCGCAUGGCCAAAAGCCGGAGUUCGCACAUGUGCAGUGCAAGUGUGUGCAUGUGUGUACAUGUGGCCCCUAGCUGGUGCUCUCGUGGUGAAGGGACAGAGAGAGGUGCAGGAAGAAGGGAGAGUUUUGGAGCUCACCUUUGAGCUAGCUAUGCAAGACUGAGCUGGGAGGCCGAAGAGCACAACGGAUGGGUGGCUGUUUAAAUAGAGGGCAUGGAGGUUGCUGUGCGUGCACGCGUUCAAACACGUCACGACACCGGUCUUUGGUCAGCUCACACUCGUGCUCGGUUCAGCGGUGAAGGCGUUGGCUGGUGGCAGCAGGUGUGCUAUGGCCAGGGUGACCAGCGGAUUGCAGCCUGUUGCGUGUAGAGCCACUUAGAUGUUCAAGCUGUGGGUGUGCUGUACACGAGUGGCAUCAAGUCAGGUGGCAGUGAGGUUUACCAACAUUUAAUUUGUCGAGCCGUCCACGCGGGUGGCAGCUGGAAUCAAUGUAGCAUGCAUGGUAGUGUUUAUUGAAGGGCAAGCUGUUCAGCUCGGUUUAUCCGUUGCUGCCAUGUUGAAAUGUGGGCGUCGUCGUGCCGUCUAAGUGACCAGGGCAUUCAAGCUUGCUUCAGUGGAGUAAGCGUGGUGUGCAGCGGUUCAGCGGUGAGGUUUGACCAUGAGGGCGCGGUCGACGAGACUAGGAUGCCGGUUUGUGGUUUAUUGUGGUCGGUGAGCAGUUGUGAUGCGUAGCAGCCAGCAUGGUCUGGCUUGGAUUGCUGUGGAGCUUGGCGCGAUGCUCGGCAGCAUCUUGCUUGGGUCAGGAACAACGUCAUGGUGCUGGGUCCGUGUACAAGGUGCAUGCAGCACUGCCCGAAUGGUCUUCUCACUUGUACAGGAGCGUCAGCUUGUGAUUGAUGGCUGCCAGUGAGGUUGGUAUGACGGGGCAGGGUCAGCAGGGUGUGGCCUUCGAGGUGCCUGACCGAGGGCGGGAUCGGCGAGGCGCGGCAUGAUGCUCGGCGCUGCAACAGGGCAAGCGAAGCAACAUUGGUGCCGGUGCAUACAGGCGUGCUGUUUAACCAGAGGUAGAAGAAGAAGCUAGCAGUUGGGCUUUACGUGUGGAAUUGACCUUGGGUUGGGCCACGUGCAAGAGCAAGAGCGAAAGAGCAGGCCUGCUGGCCAUAAGAGAGUCACAACCCAAGGGCUCCUGGUUGUUUGAUUAUUUUCCAUUUCUAUUCUCUUUUAGUUAAUUCUACUAGUUAAUUUACUACUAAUUAAAUUAUUUAUGGUACUGAUUGAUGUUUUAUCUUGAUGUGAAAAAGGAAUGUUACAAACCUACCCCACUCAGAAGGAAUGUCAUCCCCGAGAUUUGGCUGGUCCUUAAAGAGAUGAGGAAACUCCAUGUGAAGUGCGUCUUCUCGCUCCCAAGUCACCUCGGACUCCGUGUGUCUGCUCCACUGGACACGACAAAGCGUGACAGAAGAGGUACGCAUCCUCCGGGUUAUAGUGUCCAAGAUCUUCAUGGGCACCUCCUGGUAGCACAGGUCGUCCUGUAGGUCCAGCGUAUCUGGCGCUACCUUUUCCUUGGGUACUCGUAGGCACUUCUUUAGCUGUGAGACGUGGAAGACGUUGUGCACAUCUGACAUCUCCUCGGGCAACUGGAUCUUGUAUGCCACGGUUCCUAUCCUCUACAAAACUGGAAAGGGGCCAAUGUACCACGGAGCUAACUUUCCACGCACCCUGGAACCUCCGUGUACCACGAAUCGAAGACAACUUGAGAUACACGUGAUCUCCAACUUUAAAGCUGAGCUUGCGUCUUCUCUUAUCUGUGUAGCUUUUCUGGUGUGACUGGGCUGCCUUCAGGUUCUCACAGAUUUCUGCAAUCUUAUCUUCCACCGCCACUAUGAAGUUUGGGCUUUCAAUAUAGCGCUCGCCAACCUCCGACCACAUCAAUGGAGUUCAGCACUUCCUUCCAUAUAGAGCUUCAUACGGUGACAUCUUGAUACUGGCUUGAUAGCUGUUGUUGUAGGAAAACUCGUCAUAUGGUAGACUGUCUUCCCAAUCCUUACCAUAGGUGAGCACAUAGGCUCUCAACUUGUCCUCCAGGAUUUCGUUGACUCUUUCUACCUGACCAUCCGUCUGAGGGUGAUAGGCUAAGCUGAAGUCCAACUUUGCUCUGUAGGCUUCUCUAGAACCUUGAUGUGAACUGGGUGCAUCGAUCCGAGACGAUCCUUGAUGGUACACCAUGCAACUUCAUGAUCCGAUCAAUGUAUAACUUAGCCAGCUUGUCUCUAGCGUAGGUAGUGCGCACGGGUAUGAAGUGUGCAACCUUGGUGAGGCGGUCGACCACUACCCACAUAGAGUCAUGACCAUUCUUGGUUCUCAACAGGCCGGUGAUGAAAUCCAUCCCAACUUCAUCCCAUUUCCACAUGGGAAUUGGUAAUGACUGAAGUAGGCCACUUGGUUUCUGGUGCUCUGCCUUGAUUCUUUAGCACACAUCACAGUAUGCUACGAAUCUUGCGAUGUCAUGCUUCAUGCCGUGCCACCAGUACUUUUGCUUCAGGUUCAGAUACAUCUUAUUGGCACCAGGGUGGAUAGAGUAAGCUGAGUUGUGGGCCUCAUCAAGGAUGGUCUGUCGGUAGUGUCCCUGCUUAGGUACACAUAACCGCUCCUGGAACCACAAGACUCCAUCUCUGUCCACUCUGAAAUUCGGGGCUCUAUCUUCGCUAGCUAGUGAGGGUUUUGAUCACCAUUAGCUUCUUAUCACUAGGCUGGGCUUUCUUUAUCUGGUCAUCCAGCAUGGGCUGGACGCUGAUGUUGUAGUUGCAUGAAUAGGGUACAAUACUUAGGUUCAACUUCAUCAUCUCUUCACAUAGCUCGGGUGCUUGAGUCACCAAGUGAUGACAGUAUGCCUUCCUGCUGAGAGCAUCUGCUAACACAUUAGCUUUACCCAGAUGGUAGUGGAUUUCCAGGUCAUAAUCCUUGAUUAGCUCCAACCAUUUCCGUUGCCUUAAGUUGAGAUCAGGCUGGGUAAAGAUGUACUUGAGACUCUUGUGGUCUGUGAAAAUCUCGCACUUGUUCCCGAUCAGAUAGUGCCUCCAGAUCUUCAAAGCAUGGACUACAGCAGCUAAUUCCAAGUCAUGGGUCAGGUAGUUUUGCUCAUGUGGCCUUAGCUGCCGAGAGGCAUAUGCUACCACACGUCCUUCUUGCAUUAUCACACAACCCAAACCUUGUCUUGAAGCAUCACAAUAAAUGGUGAAGCUCUUGUGAAUAUCUGGUAGGACUAGCACGGGUGCUGUGGUUAGUCUUUCCUUCAACCCACGAAAACUCCACUCACAUGCUUCUGACCACACAAACUUCUUGUCCUUCUUGAGCAGCUCUGUCCUAGGCCUGGCUAACUUGGAGAAUUCUGGUAUGAACCUCUGAUAGUAGCCUGCUAAACCCAAUAAACUCUGAAUUUUCGAGAUAGAUGUUGGUUGCUUCCAAGAUGAUACAGCUUCAACCUUUUCUGGAUCAACUGCUACUCCAACUGCAGUUAGCACAUGCCAAAGGAAACUGACUUUCUGCAGCCAAAACUCACACUUGCUGAACUUGGCAUACAACUGAUGGCUUCUAAGCUUUUCCAGAACAACUCUCAAAUGUUGGGCAUGCUCUUCUUCACUGCGAGAGUAGACCAGGAUGUCAUCAAUGAAGAUGACGACAGACUUGUCUAACUCCUCCAUGAACACCCGGUUCAUCAAGUUCAUGAAGUCUGCAGGGGCAUUGGUUAACCCAAAGGACAUCACUGUGAACUCAUACUGGCUGUAGCGAGUCACAAAUACCAUCUUGGGUAUAUCUUCAAAUUUGAUCGUCACUUGAUGAUAACCAGACCUUAAAUUGAUCUUUGAGAAGAAUUUGGCUCCCUUCAGCUGGUCGAACACAUCAUCGAUCUGAGGUAGGGGGUACUUGAACUUGAUGGUCACUCCAUUAAGAUCCCGGUAAUCAACACAGAGCCUCAUGCUCCCAUCUUUCUUCUUCACAAAUAGCACUGGCGCACCCCAGGGUGAUGCACUCGGUCUGAUGUAACCCUUCUAUUGUAGUUCAUCUAACUGUUUCUUUUGCUCCGCUAGCUCUGGUACUGUCAUUCUAUAGGGCCUCUUCACGAUCGGAGCAGUACCUGGAACUAGAUCGAUGGAGAACUCCACUUCUCUUUCGGGUGGCAUACUGGGCAACUCUUCUGGGAACACAUCAACAUACUCCCUGACUACCAGUAAUCCUUGAGGUGAUUCAGCCUUCAGGUAGUUUAACACUGGUUCACAUAGGCUAGGCCGGAUGUGGUAGGUGACUAUCUUCCCAUGAUGGUUGGUCACGGUCACUAUCCUUUCUGCGCAGGCUGUCAGACCCGGGACUACGGGACUGCGUACACAACAUAGUUCAUAUAGGAAUAGGGGAUAGGACAUGUCCUAUACCUUAUCUAUGUUGUACUCUACUCGCAUGCGAAGUAGGACUAGCCGAUACAGAAGGAAGCUACUCGAGUUAUACUCGAAUACGAUUCCUAGGCUAGCGUCAGACUAGGAUUCAUGUAACCCUGUCCUCCUGGAUAUAUAAGGGCGGGCAGGGACCCCCUCAAAAAAACAUCAACACCCAAGGCAAUACAAACCACCAUACAGGACGUAGGGUAUUACGCACAUCGCGGCCCAAACCUAUCUAAACCUUGUGUUGCUUGCACCUUUGAGUUCCUGAUCUCGGCGUCACCCUACCUAAAACUUACCACCUCGGGUAUACCCCUCGGUGGGCAGGUGGUAAAACACCUACAGCUGGCGCGCUAGGUAAGGGUGCGCAUCGAAGAUCCACCGGCGAACUCGAUGGCAUCGUUCAAGUUCACCAGUGCCGUGCCCCCCCCAGGGCACAACGUUCAUUUUUGGCUCGUGGGUCUGCGUCGCAGAUGGCGCGGGUGAUUUUCGUCGGUUCACCAUCGACGUCAUGAAGCCGAAAACUCUCGCAGCGAGUUUUCAUAGCAACCUCGACGAGUUUGUCGAUAAUUUCGACGACUUGCCAACCCAUGGCUCCGCUACGAAGACCGAGGAGGAGUCCAUUUUCAACGCGACUUUACCCUAUGCUGCAAUGUCCAUGCUUGGAUCGGACCAGCUCCAAUCUGAGAACUUGCAUAACUGGUCGUGACUCGGUUUACGCAAUUCGGCCACUGAACAUUAGGAGGCCAACAACUCCAAGUCCCUCUCCGCAUUGGAAAAGGACUUGCACUAUUUACUUCAAAUCGGAAAACCCGAAGCCACCGCACGUCGGGAGGCUGCAGGUUGUCUAUGACAACGGUCUGAUGAUCACCUCCACUCCGGAGGGCCGUUUCGUGCCAAUCUAUUCGAAGACAAAGACCGACUUGUGGCACACCUCGAGCCCUUGCCUUUUCAGGAAGGCAAACCAUUAGCCACCAUGGCAGAAGAAUCAACUGAUCUAGUCGAAGUGAGCUCCGAUGAGCUCAUAUCACGUCAAGUGUUGAUGGCGGAGGAGGGCGAGGAUGAUGGCAUCUCACCCAAUGACGCACUUGAUAUGAUAUCUGAAGAUGAGGCCACAGCCAACACCGGCGAUGAAAAUGACACUGAGCGUGAGGCACGAAGGGCCAGGAACAGAGCUCGCGCAGUCCGGCGAAGGAGUGUCAAUGAGCGCAUGUGAUCUAUGCAUCGUGAGCUAGACGCCAAAUUCGCUGCCGUGAGUGAGCAGGGUAACUGCCAUACUCAAACGCACUUUGCUAUGCGCAGAGGGCAUGGAUUCAGCUCGGUCAACAAAACCCGGCGUCCGCCAUCAAAGAAGAACACGUGGGCGAAAGUCGCAGCCAGCCCAACAGUCGAACGGCAGGCGGCCGUCCUCGACCUCAGCGAAGCAAUAACAACGACAACGCUCACGGGAGUCAGGCCACUAGCGGGAGGUAGCAGCCACCUCCAGGAGGCAACCCGUGAUAGCCCAAUCAUCGGAAUCCUCCAGAAGACAUGCGCUAGAGAAUCAAUGAAGGAUGCGAUGCGCGCUCCAUAAUUGAUUCCAGAUGCAGAGAGCGUGAAGUAGCCGAUACCGAAGUUACCGACUGCAGUGAUCACUUUCCUGCGUUCACAGCACGGUUCAGUAGUUACAAGUACCCUGAGGGCUUCAAGCCGAUUGGGAUCACCAAGUACGAUGGUAAACAAGCUCCGCAGCAAUGGCUACGAUGCUACUCCACCGCCAUAGAAGUCGCAGGAGGCUCCAACAUCACCAAGGUCGUCUACUUCCCGAUGGCUUUGGACCCUGCGCCGCUCACAUGGCUGGAGAGCCUCAACAACAAUUUGAUCGACUCCUGGGAGCGACUCAAGAAAGUCUUCAUCGAUAACUUCCAGGGGGCGAUCGCCCGUGCAGGUACUCGUCAUGACCUUGCUCAAUGUAAACAGGAACGCAAAACAUGCGUGCCACCAUUGCGAAUAUCUCAGAGGAGCACAUUAUCGACUGCUUCUACAAUGGCAUCACCGACCUAGGCAUCUACAGAGACUUUUGGCAGAACAGACCAAAAACUAUUGCAGGACUUUAUGACAUGAUGCACGACCGGUCCGAGCAAGAGGAAAAGAUGCGGGAGCGGUUCCCGAGGUGCAAUGACAUUAACCUGAGGCACACAAAUGAUAAUCGUACUGACAAGAGCUAGCGGGACUACUCGGGUCCAUCUCGAAAGCGCAAGCCAGACGACCUCAUCACGGCUGUGGAUUGUCCUUCAUGAGGCAAGAAGACAACGACGUAGGAGAAGUUCGAAAAGCUCCUCCAGAAGAAAUGCCCAUGGCAUCCAUGUGCCAAUCAUGCGGCAAUUAAUUGCUACCACCUCCGGAGGACAUUCAGCAAUCCCAGCAACAACAAGAAGAACAAGUCAGUGGACAAAGAACCCGAAGAUGAUGACCAAGGGGACAAAUCGCACAAUGCGAAGUUCCAAGAUGCUUCAAAAACCAUUAACGUCAACUUCAGAGGUGAUGAAGAAUUCAAUUCUAGGAGAGAACUGCUCCUCCGAGAAAUCAUGUCCGUCGAGCCGGUGGUACCACGACCACUCCGAUGGUCGGAGGUCCCAAUAUCAUUCUCACAUAACGAUCAGUGGACAAGCUUCUCGGAGCCUGGCAAAUUCCCCCUGGUCCUGGACCCGGUGGUGGCAGAAGUCAAGCUCACCAGAGUACUCAUCAACUGCAGAAAUGGUCUCAACCUCAUCUUCGCCAGCACUUUGAGAAAGAUGGGCUUGGACUUAAUGGAUAUGCUCAUCCCAAGAAAGUCUCCCUUUUACGGCAUUGUCCCAAGCAAUGCAGCGCAUCCACUUGGCACAGUGGUUCUUCCAGUCACCUUUGGCACGAGGGAGAACUACCGCACCGAGUUCAUCAAAUUCAAAGUUGCCAACUUUGAAUCUUCAUAUCAUGCCAUACUGGGCAGACCGGCACUGACCAAAUUCGUGGCAGUGCCGCAUUAUGUUUAUUUACUUCUCAAGAUGCUAGGACGAAGUGGGGUACUCACUCUCUGAGGUGACUUGAAGAUGUCGCAUGACUGCAACCAGGAGGCCAUCCAGUACGCUUCGACUACGCGUGUACCAGAUGCUUCAGGAGAAGUACUCGCGGUUGUGCAACAACUCUCCCAAGCUGGGCUAGAAAUCCCUACAAGGAAGGCCAGCAACUCGAGCAUCUAGUCGACCGGCGACGUGGCCCUCAAGACGAUCUAGCUCCAGGAAGGCGACUCAUCUAAGACUGCCGUCAUCGGUGCAGGCUUAGAUGAGAAAUAGGAACUCGCGCUCGUCAGUUUCCUUCAGGCUAACCGAGACAUAUUCGUAUGGAAACUAGCGGAUAUGCCAGAGGUGCCCAGGGAACUGAUCGAGAAUAGUUUAAAUGUACACGCACAGGCUGUGCCUAAAAAGCAACGCCUUCGAAGGUUUGCUCAAGACAAACGUGAGGCAAUCAAGAGGGAAAUAGCUAAACUCCUCGCGACUGGCUUCAUUAAAGAAGUAAUCCAUUCAGAGUGGGUAGCUAAUCCCAUCCUUGUAAAGAAAAAGAACAAUGAAUGGAGAAUGUGCGUUGACUACACCGAUCUCAAUAAGCAUUGCCCAAAGGAUCACUUCGGGUUACCGCGCAUUGAUCAAGUGGUCGACUCGACGGCGGGUUGCGUAGUCCUCUACUUCCUUGACUGCUAUUCGAGGUACCACCAGAUCACGCUCAAGGAGGAAGAUCAAAUAAAAACCGCGUUUAUCACCCUGUUCGGGACAUAUGCGUACAAAACUAUGUCUUUCGGGUUGAAAAACGCAGGGGCAACCUAUCAACGCGUAGUUCAGAUGUGCUUCGCUGAUCAGCUACAGCGGAAUGUUAAGGCCUAUGUGGAUGACAUGGUCAUCAAGACCAGGAAUCCCGACGACCUGAUUGCAGACUUGGAAGAGACAUUCAGCAGCUUACGCAAGUUUCGGUGCAAGCUCAACCCAACAAAGUGCAUUUUCGGAGUACCAUCAGGGAAAUUGCUCGGGUUCAUCGUUAGCAACCGGGGAAUUGAAGCCAAUCCUGUGAAGAUCACAGCCAUCACUGACAUGGAGGCUCCAGCCACAAUCAAGGAUGUGCAGAAGCUAACAGGAUGUAUGGCAGCCCUGAACAGAUUCAUCUCACGACUCGGGGAGAGAGGACUACCCUUCUUCAAACUCCUAAAAUGCCAAGAUAAAUUCCAGUGGACGGAGAAGUCCGAGCAGGCCCAGUAGGAUUUGAAACAACACCUACAGUCACCUCCGGUGCUUACAGCACCACUGCCGGGAGAAUAUCUACUACUCUAUAUUGCGGCAACAACUCAUGUUGUCAGCAGUGCCAUUGUAGUCGAGCGCGGCGAGGAGGGCCAUGCAUUUGGAGUGCAGAGGCCCGUGUACUUCGUCAGCGAGGUACUCUCCAAAUCUAAGGUACGAUACCCGGCAGUUCAGAAACCUUUAUAUGCAAUACUGAUCACAUCAAGAAAGCUGCGCCAUUACUUCAACGAGUACAAGAUCACUGUGAUUACAGAUUUUCCGUUGGCGGAUAUUCUACACAAUCAGGACGCCACAGGGCGUAUAUCAAAGUGGGAAGUGGAACUGGGGGCUCUGUCAAUCGACUUCAAGCCACACACUGCAAUUAAGUCUCAAACUCUAGUCAAUUUUAUGGCCGAGUGGAGAAAGAACUAAAUUCCAACUCCAGUCGACAAGCCAGAGCACUUGACCAUGUAUUUCAAUGGGUCUCUUAAGCUCGAUGGCGGCGGUGCUGGAGUCCUACUUAUCUCUCCAAGAGGUGAAUAACUGAAGUAUGUCCUCCAGAUCCUUUGGGAGGUAUCCAAUAAUGAAGCCGAGUAUGAAGCCUUGCUUCACGGGCUGUGUUUGGCGAUAUCACUAGGCAUCAAACGACUGCUUGUAUACGGUGAUUCACUUCUGGUCAUUCAGCAAGUCAACAAAGAGUGGGACUGCAACAAGGAGACAAUGGAUGCCUAUGUACAAGAAGUGCGCAAGCUGGAAAAUAAAUUUUUCGGACUGGAGGUUCAUCACAUGAUACGGGAACACAAUGUUGGCGCAGACAUACUAUCCAAGCUAGGAUCCACCCGUGCACAAGUUCCAGCGGGAGUCUUCAUCCAGGAGUUGAAGCAGCCAUCCAUCAAGUCCUCACCUCAGAAAUCGAGCAAUCAUAUAUGCGCCAGGAUCAAGUCACGCAUAUAUACAACAGAUUAUCAAGAUAUCACAACACAUGUCACGAUAAAAGCGUAUAAUUUAUAAAAUGAAUAUCUUUAUUACAACUGAAUCAAGAAUCAGUUCAAGGAACUGCGGAAGCGUAAAUGAAUACAUGAAGAGCUGGGCGCCACAGGGACGUCGACUGGGAGACAAACGCCUAGAAGUCGUCGAAGCCGCUGACGUAGUCCUCCACGUUACCGGGCACUGAGCAGCAGUCGAAGGCAUCCAAAAUAGAACAGAAGAGUAGAGAGGCAAGUGUGAGUACCAACUGUACUCAACAAGUAUAACACAAACUAUGAGGCUCUAGGCUAGCUGACUCAACUGCAUUAGCUUUUAGUCUUGGCAAUUUUAUUAAAGCUAAUUACUACAACUGGAUGAAUUACCAUAACCCAAUUGCAUAAGAAAUUAAUCAAUAUUAAUUAAGAACUACUGAGAACCAUCCAAACCAAAACCACCCCGGGGAAUCUCCCUAAUCAAAGGUUGAUAACCCCACUAAUCAGACCGAGGAUCUGGUCCGCUCAUGACUGUGAGCACAGCUGAUAUAUCAGUUUUACACUCUCGAGAGGUUGCACAACUUUACCCACAAGUCGUGAGCUACGCUAGUGGUUCAUCACACUUCCUUAGGUGAGAUGGCUAGCAAGCACACUAUGAGACCGUUACAAAGGACCACGUUGGUAAGGUGUAACCGCUAAGGAUUCUGGAUCAACGACGAUGGGGCCCACCUCCGGGGGUACAAGACACACAGCACAGACCAAGCCGGAGGAGCAGGGACCAUUGAAGCUUACCACCCCUCUUGCCCAUGCAGGUAAGUUACUCCCGAACCAACACGACCUAAUUAGUAAGUCAAGACCGUCCCAUUCCAGUCUUGUGGUUGCGCGGUUGUCCCAGGUUGUCGCUCUAUGAACCAGUCCUUAUGGAGAGUGGCCAACCAAGCACUAAGCACCGUGCUGGCCCCCUAAACCAAGUUUCUAACAAAAAACAUCUUUUAAGGACGCACAAACCACUCAAGCACACAGCACAGAGGGUCGGCUCCAGAAUUAAGUUGCAUAAGAUCAUUAACAAAUUAAUUAAAAAGGACCAGGUGUGUUAUAGCGCAGCAACCUAGCACAACUAACCAAAAAUGCAACCCAAAGGAUAUAUAAAGCAUAUAAAGUGGCUAGGAAAGUCCUUAUAGGCAUACAGUAUUAAAAUGCAGUAUGAAAUUGUAUUUAAAAGUGAUAGGAGGUUCAUGUUAUACUUGCCUUCCUCGUACUCUCCCGGCUGCUGCUCGAACUGCUCGGAAGACGGCUGCUCCUGGUACUGCUCCGGUGGCUCGACGUCUAUUCACGAUCGUAACAGCAAUACAUGGGCCACACACGCACACACAUGCAAACAAUAGCAAAAUAUAAGAAAGAGUACACCAAUACAAUAGAACAGCACAUAAAACUAGCCUAGAACCAUUCUACGCGUUACAACGAUCGCGUGGAUAUAAAGAACACCUAAAACGGAGCUAAAACGCGAAAACUACGCUUAAAGUAAGAUCCAGGGACCUAUUUGCGAGAAAAACAGAACUUCCAGGGGGUUCUGUGCGAAAACUGGGGACCUAAACGUAAUUAAAGCAUAGACUCAGGGGCUAGCGCAUGAAAACCCGAGACAUGGACUGCGGCCACAAAUUCCAGGAAACUCAGGGGGUCAAACGGGAAGAAAAGGACCUGUCUGUAAAUACUUUUGAACUAGGAGUGGACGGCGGGUUGUUUUCCCAAAACGGCAGGGACUCUUUAGCAAAACGAGCGAGCCGAACCGGUAACUUCUGUUCUGGGCCCUUGGAUCGCCAUCUAACGGCUCGGAUUAGAUCUAUUACGCGAAGGGGUAUCUACGCGUAUCGGCCGUCGGAUCUCGAUCCGACGCUCCGGACCCUCCCUUAGCACGGAUCUAAUACGGGGCACUAGAUCAACGACGGACGACUCCGAUUUAAAACAAGGACAAACCGGUACGCGCUGCUUGGAUCCCUUGGACCUCGAUCGCACGGCUCAGAUCUAUCCCGGCUCGAUCUAAUCGUGGGCGCUGGCUCCAGAUCGGACGGUUGGGAUCUCUCGGGCGCUCGGGGCGGCGGCGCGCGGCUCGGGCUCGCCGGAGUUCGACGUUCCCGUCGCUCCGGUGGCCAAACCUUCACGACUUCAAGUCAGGGAGCAUCGCCGCGGCACGGGGAACUCUUCUAGGGUGAACAGAAACGGCCAAGAUGACCCUAGCGACGGCACGGUGGUGAAGAGCGGCGGACACGCCGGAGUGCACGCGUCCUAGCUGCUACAGACUACCAAAACUCACGCUAUCUGGCGCAAGAGAACCAGGGAAGGGAGAGGGAGCUCACCAAGGCCUCGGAGUGGCCGGAGCUGCCGCGCAGGGUGGAUGUCGACGAUGGCCGGCGGAGGAAGCAGGGCGGCACUCGCGGACAGACGACAGUAGAGGGGCUCGGAGGCUCUGAUCACCCUGGGUCGCUUCGGGGAACUCCUGCGCAGGUGAUCAAGAGGUUAAGAGGACCUGAGAUGCGACGAUGGCGAAGAAUUGAGGCGGUGGAGCAGAUCACCGGCGGCGAUGGCGUGGCUCGAUUCCGUUGAUGCCGGGGUCUAGAGCUCCACUACACGGCUUGAGAGGCUUCUAGGGGCCUAGGCGGAGUUGUUGCGGGAGCUGUGGUGGUCCGGGACGUGGCGGAGCGACCUGACCACGGUGAGGCCGAAGUGACCGGAGCAGGGGAAAGAAGGGGCGGCGGUGCUGGAGGUCCUCGGGCGAUGCAGGAGUAGGGUUAGGGUUCUGGGGCUCGGAGGGGUUCCUUUUGUAGGGCGGCGGCCACAUUGGCGUGCGGGUCGGGCGGACGCAGGGCGGGCGGCGCCUGGCCGGAGAUCUCGGGCCGUUGCGCCGGGAAGAAGAGGAGAAGGGAGAGGGCAGCGCUGACGCGCGGGCCCGGGCUGGCAGCGAGAGGAAAGGGAGGAGCGGGCGCUCGGGCUGGGGAAAGAGGAAUGGGCCGGCUUGGCCCAUGCGGGGGAGAAGGAGAGGGAAAGGAGCCCGAGAGGGAGAGGGAGUUGGGCUGCUGGGCUCUAUUUCCUUUACUUCUUCUUUUCUUUUCCUUUUCUAUACUCUAAGUAUUCAAACAAAUCCAAUUGGAUUCAAAAUACAAUUUGAAUUCAAACCUAUAAACUCAACACAAAUAAAACAAUGCUGCGGCAUGAAUGCACAAACAUUUUAAUCCUAUGAUAAAUUUUAUUUUCUCAUGUUAUAAAAUUACUUUAAAUGCGAGAUAAAUUAGGGAAAACCUUGGAAAAUUUAUUUAAGCCCAAAUAAAUUCAUUAAAAUUUAAGGAAAUUACCUUAGGGUGUUACAUGUCAUCUGGGGGCUCAGGACUCAGCCGUCCAAAGCCACAGGACAAACACCGUUCUUUCUUGUCUACGGCUCCGAAGCAAUCUUACCGGCUGACAUCAUGUGGAAACCCCCAAGGGUUGAAAUGUACGGCGAGGCGGACGAAGCAAGGCAGCUAGAGCUUGACACUGUCGAAGAGGCUCACUGCACUGCUCUUGUUCAGUCAGCACGAUAUCUAUAGGGGAUCGGAUGAUAUCACGACUGCAACGCCAGAGAACGGUCGUUCAGUAUAGGUGAUUUGGUCCUACGAUGCAUCCAGGAUGAGUUCGGCUUACACAAGCUCAACUCGAGAUAGGAAGGACCAUUCAUCAUCAAGCAGAUUACCAGACCGGGGUCUUAUCGACUACAAUACCCCGAGGGUCAAGAUGUCCCAAACUCUUGGAAUGUUCAGAACCUGCGCAAGUUUUACCCAUAAGAAGACGUGCAGGGAUAGUUGCUCUCCGAGCGUCUAGGCGAUUUUCUCCCGAUUCAAUUUGGAGGUACGUGCCACGGAAUCCAUAAUGUAAAUUUUCUGUUACAAUAUGGAGGCUAUAGCCACGUUCAUGUUUUAUAUGAAUCGACUUCUUGCCAUGAGCAUAGCUGUCAUCACGAUGAUGAUCGCAUUUUUUUCCUAACAGGUUAGAUCCGCUUGAUCGGAUUCUAUCUAACUUGUUGGACGGGCUCGCAUGGGGAGCUAUAUCGACUACUCCCAGAGUCGCUGCACUCGGGGUAGUUUCGACUUCUUGCCAUGAGCAUGACAGUCAUUGCGACGAUGAUCGCAUUUUUUCCUAACAGGUUAGAUCCGCUCGAUUGGAUUCUAUCUAACUUGUUGGACGAGCUCACAUGAUGAGCUAUUUCGACUACUCCUAGGGUUGCUGCACCCGGGGUAGUGUCUACUACUUAGCCUAUGAACAUGGAUGGCAACCCAGAAAUUAUAAGGCAAUAAUGAGUAUAGACAUCACUGACAGAUAUAUUACAAGGAGAAGAGUACUUGUUUUUACAAUAUCUCAAUCUUGUAUUACACUCUCUACUAUUUUUUCAGCUACAGGCCUGGCCUCUAGAAGGUACUCGCUGAACUGCUCUUCCGAGUAGUCCGCAGCCGCACCCUAUGCGAGUACCUCUAGUCGAGCCUUAGGCCAAAAGGACUUUACAAGACCUAAGGCGUGGCUGACACAUGUGAUGGGGGCUUCGGCGAUGAAGCUGAGGACUUUCUGCGGUGCUCCGAGGAGUCGCUCCAGUAGGGAUCGCUCGUCUGCUUCGCUGCCUUCCUGCGGAUCCACCAUGUCAACAAGUUGUUGGGCGGCCACCCUUAGGUCCUCCAACUCCUUCUGGCGUUGUUCCUUUUCUUCGCCCAGCGUCUUGAUCUGCUGAAGGCAGUCGACGAACUGUUGUUCAAUAUCGGCGAUCACCUUCUGCAGCUUCUUGAUGUCAUCUGUACAGCGAUAUAGCAUAUUCUUCACGUCAGUAAGCAACUCUUCUUUAUAUGUUAAGAGUUUCCUAAGCUCUGCGAUGAAGACAGUUUUCAGAACUCAAGACAAACUGCUAAGAGAAAGUACUCGAGCGAGGAAAGGACUUGCCUUGGUGCGCCUUUUUCUGCUCCUUAAGCUGUUCUUGGAGCUCAGAGUUGGACUUCUCAAGAUUGCGGAGAUAGUUCUUGAGAAGCCAUGUUUCUCGCGUCCGCUCCUACUUCAGCUUGUCAAGCUCUCUCUGAAGAUACAUGUUCUUUCGGUGUUCUUCUGAUAUGCGUUGGUCCUUCGCUUGGAGUUCUCGGAGGCCACUCUCGACUGCUUUCAGCUUCUUGGAUUUUUCUUGGAAGCGUUUGGCCACAUCCUGUAUAAGGGGAAGACUAAGACAAGCAACUCGACAAAGCAUAAUGUCAUAAGAGCAGUCAUGCCUUACCAGGGUAAAUUUGUACAUCUCCUUGGAGAUCUUUUGGAAAUAUCGCAUGUUGUCGAUCGUCAGGAGAGGAUCAUCCAAUAGAUCUUUUGUGAUGAUGUCCUUGUAUCCUCUCCCGGACACCAGCAGAUCUCCAAGGUUGCUUGAGGUACCCGUAGCUUCUUCAGUUGAUGGCAGUGGGGCACCUGCAAGUCGAAAAUGCGUUCAGUACACGAAGUCUGCGAUCUGAGCAGUUAGCUGUAGGAGGUCAGACACUUACUUGUGCCAUCCGCAGGAGUGGCAUUAGUGGCCUCGGCUUGUUCAUCACCACCAGCGCUAGCUUAGGUUGCUGGGGCUCAGGAGGUGGUGGGUCGGGGAGCGUCGCGUCCUCCUUGGGGGCUGGCGGCUCGGGGGCUGGAGUUGCCGAGUCAGGUUCUGGCUCAUUCAACCCCAAAGCAGAUGUAGUACUAAUGAGGCAGAAUCAGCUAUAUUCUCAAACAAGUCGAAAGGAACAGAAGAUACAUUAUGAACAAGGAGUUGCACUUACAGCGAGGAUUUCUUCAUGCCGGAUUUCUUCAGUCUCAGCGCCCGUGGUUUUAUAACCAUGGUACUUGUUGCUGGUGGCGGGGUCACACCAGCCGAGGGAGCGAGAUGCCCUGGCGCGGUACCCGCCUCGGCAACGGUUACAACCCCAGCUGAUGUAGUCGACGGGUCCGUCCUAGUAGUUUCUGCGGAACCUCCUGCUGGAACAUCAUCCCCAGCAAAUUUGGCCCCGACCACGUUUUGGCGCUUGGGGUUAGGAGGAGAAGCAGAAGGACUGCAAAAUAGGCAACUUAAGCAUUCAACAACUACAAGACUUGACAAUUCUACAAGAUGGCGGCUCCAUACCUGGUGGGUUCGACUACAAACGCUUUGCGUUUGCGUACCACCCGACGACCCCGAGGGACCAAUGGCAAGGCUUCUACCAACUCCAUGGAUGAUCUGGGGGAGUUGUUCUUGUUCUCCUUCCCUUCAGUUGCCCUCUCCGCCAGGGGGUUCCCGCUCUUGGUCGUCUCGCCGCUGGCAGAGCAUCAGAUGCUUGAGCUUUUUUCGCUUCAGCCGUGGCGCUGGGAAGAAGGUGGUCCAGUCAGGGGAUGUCCGAUUGUGGUGGAUAACUCUGGUACAACAUUGUGUGUCCGUGCAGAGGAUUCUCAGUUAGUGGAAGUUCUUGAACAACAAAAUUUAUUCCAAGUAGUCGAAAACUUACCGGUUUUGGAGGAUUUUGCACUGAAAACAACUCCGGGACGUAGGGCACCGUGCUGAUGUCCAGCAGCACCCGCUUGACCCAGAGGAGCGCGGCAUCAUCGGACAACUCUUCUGCGCACAUCCGAGAUGGGUCUUCAGCGCCCAUGUACUCGCGUAUGGCGCUGUUGGAUUGGCUGGAUGCGGCGUUUGAAGAAUGAAAACAAUACAAACGCGCCGGUUACUCCUAUUUCUUUAUGGGCUGCUAUGAUGGCUAGCAACUCAUCGACUUGAUCCAUGUCCAUUUUGGAGAGUUCGGUGUUCCACUCCGGUCUUUGGACAGGCGGCUAUUCGAUUUUUCAGGGAGUUGGGGGACAUGGUUUCCGAUGUACAACCAAUGGCUUUUCCAUCCAGGAAUAUUGGAGGGAAUUUGUAGAAGAGGUAUCUGUCGCCGGCUUGUUGGCUAAGCUUGAUGCCGGCGCCCCCUACAAUGGAUGGAUUUUUGGAGGUGGGUUGCGGCUUUACCUGAAAAAGAUAGCGGAAAAGGUCCCAAUGGGGUUCAAUUCCAAGGAAAGCUUCACAAAAGUGGAUGAAAAUAGCAAUGUGGCAGAUUGAGUUCGGGUUGAGGUGAUGGAGCUCAAGCCCGUAGAAAUAAAGAAGGCCACGAAAGAAAGAACAAGUGGGGAGAGCCAAACCCUGUUCAGAGAAAUGGUAGAAUGAGACGAUUUCAUCUACAUUUUCCAUGGGAAUAAGUUGGUGAAAAGAAGGGCGCCAGUUGACAAGAUUUUUCUCCUGAAGCAAACCCUCAGAAAUAAGAUUCAGGAGUUCGUUAUUGGAGCACUUACUAUGAGUCCACUCCCCAGAAGGCGGCUGUGACUCCUUCCCCUUCCCAUCCUUCUCGUUGGAUCUCUUGGGCAUCAUUUCUAGAUUUGUUUGCCACAAGUUGCUCGGGGGCUGCAGAGAAGGGGCGGAGAGAUUCGGUUAGUUUGGGGCUUGUCAAAGGAGGUGAAGCCAGAGCACGGAUCUGAUUGGGGAUUCAGAAAUUUCUUGGCGGAUUGAAGAUUGAAAGCACGGGUCUUUACUUUAGGUUACCGCGGGGUUAAAUAACCAGCGGUUGAAGUUGAAGAGUCGUCAUAGGGAAUAUUCGGAAGAUGAGGGGUCAUUUGGUGGAUUUUUUAGAUAAAUAAUUUAAUUAACCAUUUCUUCAGGGUUAAUUGUCCCAAAAAAAGGGGGUUUUUCAAAUUCCAAGUCUAACUUCCAUCAUCUGUACCAUCACACCAAUUAUUUCCCAAGGGAACAUUUUUUCACUGCAUGCCAUGACCAUUGGAUCCUUUUUUCCAAACCUGAGAGAUUUGGAUUCAAGGCUCGGGGGUUGCGAGAUACGUGGCAUCAACUACUUAUUUUUUGAAUAUAUCCAAAAAGUAAGUAAGGAAGAUUCAAGACUAAUGUGACCGUCAGCCUGAUUCUUCGAUUCAACCUAAGGCUCAGGGGCUACUCCAUAUGGAGUGCAAUUUUUCAUUGCACACCAAGUAAGUAAUUCGGGGCAUGAGCUCCUCAUAGCUUCGAUGAAUCCAAGUCUGUACUCAAAGAAGAACUUCAAGAUGAAGCUUCAAAAGAAGCCGAAGACUACUUCAGAAGUACUCGAGGAGUCUGCAGUACUCAGCUACGAAGAGCUCGGGGGCUUAUCAGACUUGGGACUACGGGACUGCGUACAUAACGUAGUUCAUACAGGAAUAGGGGAUAGGACAUGUCCUAUACCUUAUCUAUGUUGUACUCUACUCGCAUGUGAAGUAGGACUAGCCAAUCCAGA